rnacentral:lncRNA from 1 species
CUCAAACCAAGGCUUUGAUACCAACUUGUAACAUCCCAAAAAUUUUCAACAAAUUUAAACUUUACAAAACAACCCAUUUACUAAUAAAAGUGUUUACAAAAACAUUGUCUCCAAAACAUGAUUUAAAGUCAAAGCUAGUCUCCCAAUAUCCAAUCCGCUGUAAAACCAAGGAUAUGUACGGUCACUCCUUUGCCUUGCCACAAAUCAUCUGAAGAACCUGAAACCAUAAAAAAAAAACUGUAAGCACGAAGCUUAGUGAGUUCCCCCAAAGUACCAACACACAAACAGAUAACUUAUACAAAUAACAGCAUGUACUGGGUCCACAGCUAAAAGACUGGAUUACCCUUGAGCCCAUAGUAUGAUUUUUCCUUUCCUAUCAGGCCCAUAACUCAUAUUUGGCUUGCUCUUGAACCCACAAAAUAAGUUUGUCUUGCCCUUGGGGCCUACAACAUAUGUCUGGCUCGCCCCCAACCCAAACAGUCAUCGGACCGGAAUACCAAUGUUCAACCCUCAGUACGAGUCUGGCAUACCAACCGGUCCUCAGCUUGUAUCUAGAAUGCUAUUGAGCCCUGAGUAUGAGUUCGGCAUGCCCUACCCGACCCUCAGCUCAUAUUUGGAAUGCUCUAAUACCCUCAAGUCCUCAGUACAAGUCAGGCCUACCAUCGGGUCCUCAACUCAUAAAUGGAACGCACCUGAGUCCUUAGUAUGAGUCUAGGAUACAACUAGGUCCUCAACUCAUGUCUGGCAUGCUCCAGGUUUUGUUAGCUACAUCACGAAGCAGUAAAACCUCAACCCAACACAAUAUGUCGACAGAUAACAAACAUAUACAGAUAAUGAUGCAAACAGAAUCAUAGGUAGUCCUACAGAUCUACCAACUUGUAACAUACACGUUUUGAAAUCGUGUUUUAAGUAAAUAAUAUUAAGAAAUAUUAAGUGAAUUUGAAUGUUGAGUUCUAACAGAUAGUUUUUACUAGAAAAGAAAUAAAACUAUGUUUAGAAUCACAUAUAAAAUGUUGGAAGUCUUAUGAGAUUCCAAUUAAAAACCAAAUAGUAAAUAUAGCGAAAAUAUAAAAUUUGGAAUAAGUAAAAUUUUAUUACUAAAAGUUGUAGAUAAUCUCGUUAGAAACAUUUAGGCGAAAACCUCAUCGAAAUCCGAGUUAUAACGAAGAAGUUAUGACCAAACGAAGAUCCGUAAUAAAUCCGGAAAAUACCUUGCCGCGUAAAAAUUUAGUUUUCGAUAAACUAAUUUUUAGCCUUAGUGAUGUAAAUGAAAGUUGUAGAACUCGUGAAAAUAAUCAACUUUCAUAUAAAGACCAUUUGAAUCUAACUUCGUAUGAGGAAGUUAUGAUUUUUCGAAGUUUCAGCUUAAUAGUAGACAGCUAAAAACUCGAAUUUUAGAUCGAGUGAUUUUUAGCCGACACAACCUAAAUGAGAAUUGAAGGUCUCGUCAUUAGUAGUGCAACGGUAAAAAGUCUGACGAAAACGGACGUCGGAUGAAGAAGUUAUGAAUUUUUAACGGAUUUUCCUAUCCCGGUCUGUUAAAAAUAAUAAUAUUAAAAAAUUCAAAAUUAGCCGACGAAUUCUAAACGAAAGUUGUAGAGCAUAAUUUUAGCUUCGCGUGCAUAUAAAGAACGUCAAAAACGAAGCUCGUAUGCGAAAGUUAUGGAUUUUACAAGAUUUGGCACAUUUUUCAAGAAAAUUCGCAUGAAUAGUACUGCCACGUCACCCUCGUAUGCGAGGCUUCCACGUGUCGGACAGGUGUUCGCUGCUGAUUGGACCGCAGCCUUGCGUGUUGCCUUCUGAUUGGACCAAGCCCGAGGACCACUAAGCUCGGAACACCUUCGCAGGAGACACCCCCUUGAUCACGCUCGCACCCUCGUGUCAUCCUCCCAUUGGACCGAAGCUGGGUCCAAUCCGAAGCAACCAUCUGCGAGCCAGCUAUUCCGACCCUCGCACCCGAAGCCUCGCCCUGCUGCCACCUGGUCUGAACCUCGCAGACACGUGCUUUCUUACCUUCGCUUCGGAUCUGAAGCUCGGCCCUAUAUAAAGGGUGCGAGACCUCUCAGCUAAUUUUAGAAAAUUUCCACUUUCACCCCCUUUUUCAAUAUUUUUACUAUCCCGACAUUUCCCGAAGCCCCGGUAUUGAUUCCAAAGCCCGAAACACGCCCCAAGACUCCCGAGAAGCCCGAAAAAUUUAUCUUUUCGGUUUCGAAGCUCUACCUUCACAGAGCCCGGUUUUCAAGAAAACUCCCGGUUUCCAACGACGAAAGUCAUAUUUAGAGCUGAAGUACUGCCCAUAUUAAUAUUUUAGCCCCCGGUUAUUUCACGGUGUGUUUAAUAUAUAGAAAUAAUUGUAUGUUAUGUGUUAUAUGUGCUACGUGCUUUUCAGUGUUAUUAUUCCGGGUUAUUUUCCCGGGUUAUUUUUAUUUGCUAUUUUUAAUAGCAAAGAAAUACCUUUGACCAUGUGAUCAGUGAAAGGACUUAGAUUCACGUUGGUACUGGUAUGUAGCCUCUGGCCAUGUGGAACAUGUCUCCGUAAGAGAAUGAAUUCUAUUCUAUGGUAGUGGCAGAAGGUUAGACAGGGCUAUAAGCCUGAAAUCUACCGAAAUGUUAAUCCGAAGUUGUAUAUCUUCUGUGCCGUUUGGGCCAAAGCUUUAUUGAUGUAUAUCAAGCAUGGAAAUUGUUAUGUCUCAUUGAUUGUAUAUCUUUAAAUCAAAUCAAUGAUUGAUAUGGAAUGUUUGUCACAUGAUUCACAUAUGCCCUUGUUGUUCCUUGUUCCUCUUUGCUUCUGCCCUAUUAAAGUAUAUAUAUGGCAUAACGUUAUAUUGUAUCUAUUAUUGAACUCACUAAGCGUGUCCGCUUACCCUCUCGAUGUUUAACAAAUUGCAGGAGAUAAACAUCCAGUAUAGUUAUAUACUGGUAGAAGAUUUUUGAAUAGUUUGAAACUAUUGUAUCGAUAGAAGCUUAUGAAUAGUUUGAAACUAUUGUAUUUUGCACUCCCAUAUGUAUAAAACUAUAGAAUCCUGGGAAGUUAUGUAAUAUAUAACACUUUAAAAUAGUCGGUUUGUAUCCAGUAGUUUGUAAUCUCUUUAUCAAUGUAAAAUAUUGUUUUUAUGAAUAUGCAAGUAGCAUGUUUUGGAGUAACUAUAUUGUCGAGUAUGAAAGUUUGGGUCUUUCAUAAAUACGAAAGUCAGGGUCUUUCAAUCAUGGUAUCAGAUCAGUAGUUUGAGUGAACUAAAUUCCACGGAUUGGUAUUUAGAAUUAAACUAUUGGAAGUUCAAUAUAUGAACUAAAUCAUUGUAAGUAUAGGGAUACAAACCAUAGGAAAUAUAUAAGUAAAAGUAUUAGGUAAUAAUAAACCCUAAUAUUCUAAAAUACAAUGUUACUCCGUAUUGCAGAGCAAUGGCUGAACAGGUUAGUAGCCAUACCCCUGAGGUUGGUGGAGGUCCUCAACCCGAGGAAGUGAAUACUCCAGUAUCUCCUCGUGAGGAGCGACUCUUGGGUAAACUUACCGGUGUUAUUCGACAGACUCUCGAAGAACACAAAAAGAAUGGUGAUAAGGGAAAAGAGAAAGCCACUGGAGAAUCUUCAAAAGGAGAGGUGAAGCGUCCCUCGUUCAAAGAUUUCAAGAGUAGUGGUGCUACAGAGUUUUCUGGUGUUCUCAAUCCCAUUAUUGUUCUUACUUGGAUCCAGAACACAGAGAAAGUGUUUCGUAUUUCUCAUGUGGAUAAUGAAGACAAGGCUAACUAUGCUUCCGCAAUGCUCAUCGGAGAAGCAUUGGUCUGGUGGGAAGCAACAUAUGAAGCUCUCAACGGGUUUGACCAGGAGAAUUUAGCCUGGGAAAUGUUUAAAACUCGUUUGCUAGAGAAGUAUUGUCCUCUAGACAUGAGGAGGAGAUUGGAGAAGGAAUUCCUCGAGCUUAAACAAGGAGGAAUGACUGUGAAUGAGUAUGAAACUCAGUUUAAUCAAAGAGCAAGGUUUGCUACAAAGUAUAUUCCAACUGAAGACGAGAAAAUUCAGUUAUUCAUGGAGGGACUACGACACGAAAUCCACGAUUUCGUUGCCAAUCGAGAAGUUCUGUCAUUCGAUAAAGCCGUUGAAUAUGCUCGAAGACGUGAGCAUGACUUAGAAAUACGUGGUGCCACUGUUACUGCUCCGAAGCAUCCACGUACUGAAAGAACUGUUCCUUCUUUUCUACCAGCUCAAUCCGUUCGGACUGAGCCUGGUAAUCAAGUUCAAACUCAAAGUGUCUCUCGUGGACGCGGUAGAUCACAAUCUUUUUCUAUGCAAUCGCCUUCAUGUCGUAUUUGUGGAAGGAAUCAUCCGGGCCAAUGCAAAAUAGACAAGGAAUCCAUUGUCUGUUAUGGAUGCGGAGAAAAGGGUCAUAUAAAGCCAGCUUGCCCAAGAAAGGAUGUUACUUGUUAUGCAUGUGGUAUUACUGGCCACAAGAAGCGUUUUUGCCCUACUCUUACUAGUCAGAUGACGGGAAGUCAAGCUUCUGUUCAACAACCGGCGAGAAGCCAAGUCCCUGUUCAACAAUCAAAGGGUACUCCAACUAAAAAGGAGGAGGUGCCGAAAGCUAGGGGUCGUGCAUUCCAGAUUACCUCAGAGGAGGCACGCGAGGACCCGAAUGUUGUGACGGGUACAUUUCUUGUCAACUCUAGACCUGCUCACAUCUUAUUUGAUUCUGGUGCCUCAGAUUCUUUUGUGUCUUACGAAUUUGCGCAUUCCUUUCAAAUUGCUUGCUUUGUACUCGCGCAACCAUUUCACGUAGAUACUGCGGGAAGUAUAUCAUUACUUGCUGAUAAAGUCUAUAGGGAUUGUGUUAUAGAAAUUGAAGGCUAUACUUUUCUCGCUAACCUGAUCCCUAUCUCCUUGCCCAACUUUGAUAUUAUUCUCGGCAUGGAUUGGUUAUCAAAGAACCACGCUGAACUCUUGUGCUAUGAAAAGAUAGUACGCAUUCCUAUUGAAGGGGAGAAUCCUAUCUAUGUCUACGGUGAACAAAGACUCUUAAAAAUAAUCUCUUUCCUUAAAGCUCGUAAAUUCAUAUCGAAAGGAUGUUCUAUCUAUCUAGCAUACACAGUUGAUGUCUCAAAAGAGGAGAAGAAAACUGUAAAUGAUGUUCCCGUUGUUAACGAAUAUCCUGACGUUUUCCCUGACGACUUGCCUGGCCUUCCUCCGGAUAGGCAAGUAGAAUUCCGAAUUGACCUUGUACCUGGUGCUGCUCCAAUUGCAAAGACUCCUUAUCGUCUUGCGCCAGCUGAGAUGAAAGAAAUGAUGAUCCAACUGCAAGAACUACUUGACAAGGGUUUCAUUCGACCGAGUACCUCUCCCUGGGGUGCUCCGGUACUAUUUGUCAAGAAGAAAGAUGGAUCGAUGCGGAUGUGCAUUGAUUAUCGUGAGCUGAAUAAGGUGACUAUCAAGAACAAGUACCCACUACCUCGCAUCGACGAUUUAUUUGAUCAACUUCAAGGUGUUAGCUAUUUCUCAAAAAUUGAUUUAAAAUAUGGCUAUCAUCAGUUGAAAGUUCACGAGCAAGAUGUACCGAAGACUGCUUUUCGUACUCGAUAUGGGCAUUAUGAAUUCCUUGUUAUGCCGUUUGGUUUAACAAACGCUCCGGCUGUAUUCAUGGAUAUGAUGAAUCGGGUAUGCCGCCCAAUGCUCGAUAAAUCAGUCAUCGUAUUCAUUGAUGAUAUUCUAAUCUAUUCCAAGUCUGAAGCUGAUCAUGCCAUUCAUAUUCGUGCGGUAUUGGAACUUCUUCGAAAGGAGAAACUAUAUGCUAAAUUCUCGAAAUGUGAAUUUUGGCUUCGCCAAGUUCAAUUUCUCGGCCAUGUUAUUUCUAGUGAUGGUGUAUCCGUAGAUCCUAUCAAAAUCGAAGCCAUUCAAAAUUGGGAAGUGCCCCGUAAUGCUUCCGAAAUUCGUAGUUUCUUAGGUCUCGCGGGAUAUUACCGGAGAUUCAUUAAAGACUUUUCUCGUAUAGCCGUACCUCUCACGAGUCUUACACGGAAAGAAGUGAAGUUCGAAUGGGGUGAAACCCAAGAAAGAGCUUUCUCAACUCUAAAAGAUCUUUUGACUCAUGCUCCAAUCUUAUCACUCCCAGAAGGUGAUGAUGACUUCUCCGUAUAUAGCGAUGCUUCAAGAUUGGGACUCGGUUGUGUGUUGAUGCAACGUGGCAAAGUGAUAGCCUAUGCCUCAAGACAACUGAAAGAUUAUGAAAAGAAUUAUCCCACUCAUGAUCUCGAACUCGCUGCAGUGGUAUUUGCCCUAAAACUUUGGAGGCAUUAUCUUUUUGGUACAAAGUGCCAAUUAUUUACCGACCACAAAAGUCUCAAGUACAUAUUCAGUCAGCAAACUUUGAAUAUGAGACAACAACGAGCCAUGGAGCUGAUCAAAGAUUAUGAUUGUGAAAUCCUAUAUCAUCCUGGAAAAGCUAACGUGGUUGCUGAUGCACUUAGCAGAAAAGUUUAUCGCAAUAGUAUGUGUUAUGCCAUUACUCAUACUACAGUAAAAUUCACUAUUUUAGAUGAAUUAGAGAAAUGGCAAGAAGAGGCCCUAAAGCCAGAAAAUGUGAAGAAAGAAGGGAUGAUACAUUAUAAUGAUGCUCUACUUGAUGAUCCGCGAGGAUUAAAAGUAUUCAAGAAUCGGCUGUGGAUUCCAAAGAUCGGUGGAUUGAGACAGAAGAUUUUAGAUGAAGCCCAUAAAUCUAAACUGUCAAUCCAUCCUGGUACAAGUAAAAUGUACUAUGAUGUAAGAGCUGAUUAUUGGUGGCCUGGAUUAAAGAGAGACAUUGGAAGAUAUGUACAGGAAUGCUUAGUAUGCUUACAAGUCAAAGCAGAGCACCAAAAGCCUUAUGGAACCCCAGAAAGUCUUAGUGUUCCUGUAUGGAAAUGGGAGGAAUUGUCCAUGGAUUUCAUUACCAAAUUGCCAAAGACUGCUAGACAGCAUGAUAGCAUUUGGGUAAUUGUCGACCGCCUGACUAAAAGCGCUCAUUUUCUUGCNCGGGUGAAAACCAAGAAAGAGCUUUCUCAACUCUAAAAGAUCUUUUGACUCAUGCUCCAAUCUUAUCACUCCUAGAAGGUGAUGAUGACUUCUCCGUAUAUAGCGAUGCUUCAAGAUUGGGACUCGGUUGUUUGUUGAUGCAACGUGGCAAAGUGAUAGCCUAUGCCUCAAGAAAACUGAAAGAUUAUGAAAAGAAUUAUCCCACUCAUGAUCUCGAACUCGUUGCAGUGGUAUUUACCCUAAAACUUUGGAGGCAUUAUCUUUUUGGUACAGAGUGCCAACUAUUUACCGGCCACAAAAGUCUCAAGUACACAUUCAGUCAGCAAACUUUGAAUAUGAGACAACAACGAGCCAUGGAGCUGAUCAAAGAUUAUGAUUGUGAAAUCUUAUAUCAUCCUGGAAAAGCUAACGUGGUUGCUAAUGCACUUAGCAGAAAAUUUUAUCGCAAUAGCAUGUGUUAUGCCAUUACUCAUACUACAAUAAAAUUCACUAUUUUAGAUGAAUUAGAGAAAUGGCAAGAAGAGGCCCUAAAGCCAGAAAAUGUGAAGAAAGAAGGGAUGAUACAUUAUAAUGAUGCUCUACUUGAUGAUCCGCGAGGAUUAAAAGUAUUCAAGAAUCGGCUGUGGAUUCCAAAGAUCGGUGGAUUGAGACAGAAGAUUUUAGAUGAAGCCCAUAAAUCUAAACUGUCAAUCCAUCCUGGUACAAGUAAAAUGUACUAUGAUGUAAGAGCUGAUUAUUGGUGGCCUGGAUUAAAGAGAGACAUUGGAAGAUAUGUACAAGAAUGCUUAGUAUGCUUACAAGUCAAAGCAGAGCACCAAAAGCCUUAUGGAACCCCAGAAAGUCUUAGUGUUCCUGUAUGGAAAUGGGAGGAAUUGUCCAUGGAUUUCAUUACCAAAUUGCCAAAGACUGCUAGACAACAUGAUAGCAUUUGGGUAAUCAAAGACCGCCUGACUAAAAGCGCUCAUUUUCUUGCCAUGCGUGAAACGGCACCAAUAGAGAAAUAUGCACAAGUAUACUUGGAUGAAAUUGUGGCAAGACAUGGUGUGUCACUAAAGAUCAUCUCCGAUCGUGAUACUCGCUUCACUUAUCACUUUUGGGCGAGUAUGCAAUGUGAAUUAGGAUCUCGAGUUGCUCUCAGCACAGCAUAUCAUCCCCAGACAGAUGGUCAAACGGAGAGAACAAUACAAACAGUAGAAGAUAUGCUUCGUGCAUGUGUCUUGGAGUUCGGUGGUAACUGGGAUAAAUACUUACCUCUUGUCGAAUUCUCGUAUAAUAAUAGUUACCACGCUUCAAUCAAAAUGCCACCAUACGAAGCAUUAUAUGGUCGCAAGUGUCGUACUCCAUUAUGUUGGCGAGACAUAGGACAGAAGAUCCUUGGAGGCCCUGAAAUGAUUCAAGACACCACCGACAAAAUUCAAAUCGUACGAGAAAGAAUGAAAGCGGCCCAGGAUCGACAGAAGUCCUAUACAGAAAAGAGAAGACGACCCAUAGAAUUCCAAGUGGGUGAUUUCGUGAUGCUGAAGGUAUCUCCAUGGAAAGGCCUUAUGAGAUUUGGGAAGAAAGGAAAGUUAAGUCCUAGAUUUGUUGGUCCUUUCAAAAUCAUCCAGAGAAUUGGAAAGCAAGCAUACCGCUUAGAAUUACCUGAAGAUUUGGCAGGUAUUCAUGAUGUGUUUCAUGUGAGCUAUCUGCGCAAAUGCUUGAGCAUCAAUGAUGAGACAGUUCCAUUAUCUGAAGUGAAAUUGGAUAAUAAGUUAAGAUAUGUAGAAGAGCCGGAAGAGAUCGUGAAUGAAAGAACAACUAAUCUACGUAAUAAAGAAGUGGAGUUGGUGCUUGUCAAGUGGAAACACCAUCGAGGCCCAAAUUAUACUUGGGAAAAUAAGAAUGAGAUAAGAGACAAAUAUCCCCAUUUAUUUAAAUUCGAUGUAAUUUCGGGGACGAAAUCCUCAAAAGGAGGAGGAAUUUGUAGCAUACACGUUUUGAAAUCAUGUUUUAAGUAAUAAUAUUAUGAAAUAUUAAGUGAAUUUGAAUGUUGAGUUCUAACAGAUAGUUUUUACUAGAAAUGAAGUAAAACUAUGUUUAGAAUCACUUAUAAAAUGUUGGAAGUCUUAUGAGAUUCCAAUUAAAAACCAAAUAGUAAAAUAUAGCGAAAAUAUAAAAUUUGGAAUAAGUAAAAUUUUAUUAUUGAAAGUUGUAGAUAAUCUCAUUAGAAACAUUUAGGCGAAAACCUCAUCGAAAUCCGAGUUAUAACGAAGAAGUUAUGACCAAACGAAGAUCCGUGAUAAAUCCGGAAAAUACCUUGCCGCGUAAAAAUUUAGUUUUCGAUAAACUAAUUUUUAGCCUUAGUGAUGUAAAUGAAAGUUGUAGAACUCGUGAAAAUAAUCAACUUUCAUAUAAAGACCGUUUGAAUCUGACUUCGUAUGAGGAAGUUAUGAUUUUUCGAAGUUUCAGCUUAGCAGUAGACAGCUAAAAACUCGAAUUUUAGAUCGAGUGAUUUUUAGCCGACACAACCUAAACGAGAAUUGAAGGUCUCGUCAUUAGUAGUGCAACGGUAAAAAGUCUGACGAAAACGGACGUCGGAUGAAGAAGUUAUGAAUUUUUAACGGAUUUUCCUGUCCCGGUCUGUUAAAAAUAAUAAUAUUAAAAAAGUCAAAAUUAGCCGACGAAGUUUAAACGAAAGUUGUAGAGCAUAAUUUUAGCUUCGCGUGCAUAUAAAGAACGUCAAAAAUGAAGCCCAUAUGCGAAAGUUAUGGAUUUUACAAGAUUUGGCACAUUUUUCGAGAAAAUUCGCAUGAAUAGUACUGCCACGUCACCCUCGUAUGCGAGGCUUCCACGUGUCGGACAGAUGUUCGCUUCUGAUUGGACCGCAGCCUUGCGUGUUGCCUUCUGAUUGGACCAAGCCGAGGACCACUAAGCCCGGAGCACCUUCGCAUGAGACACCCCCUUGAUCACCCUCGCAUGCGAGACCCACGUGCGAGCCACCUGCUGUCCGAGCCGAAGACCGAGCCGAUGACGCGCCUGAAGCUGAUGACUCCUCGCAUCCGAGCCUCGCUGGAGCCCUGCGAAGCUGCCAUCUGGUCCGAACCUCGCAGCCACCGCCUCCUUCCCUUCGCUUCGGAUCCGAAGCUCAACCCUAUAUAAGGGGUGCGAGCCCUCUCGGCUAGUUUUAGAAAUUUGGCAUUUUCACCCCCUCUUUCAAUAUUUUUACGAUCCCGACAUCCCCCAAAGCCCCGGUACUGAUUCUAAAGCCCGAAACACGUCCCGAGACUCCCGAGAAUCCCGAAAAAUUUAUCUUUUCGGUUUCGAAGCUCUACCUUCGCAGAGCCCGGUUUUCAAGAAAACUCCAGGUUUUCAACAACGAAAGUCAUAUUUAGAGCCGAAGUACUGCCCAAAUUAAUAUUUUAGCCCCCGGUUAUUUCACGGUGAGUUUAAUAUAUAGAAAUAAUUGUAUGUUAUGUGUUAUAUGUGCUACGUGCUUUUCAGUGUUAUUAUUCCGGGUUAUUUUCCCGGGUUAUUUUUAUUUGCUAUUUUUAAUAGCAAAGAAAUACCUUUGACCAUGUGAUCAGUGAAAGGACUUAGAUUCACGUUGGUACUGGUAUGUAGCCUCUGGCCAUGUGGAACAUGUCUCCGUAAGAGAAUGAAUUCUAUUCUAUGGUAGUGGCAGAAGGUUAGACAGGGCUAUAAGCCUGAAAUCUACCGAAAUGUUAAUCCGAAGUUGUAUAUCUUCUAUGUCGUUUGGGCCAAAGCUUUAUUGAUGUAUAUCAAGCAUGGAAAUUGUUAUGUCCCAUUGAUUGUAUAUCUUUAAAUGAAAUCAAUGAUUGAUAUGGAAUGUUUGUCACAUGAUUCACAUAUGCCCUUGUUGUUCCUUGUUCCUCUUUGCUUCUGCCCUAUUAAAGUAUAUAUAUGGCAUAACGUUAUAUUGUAUCUAUUAUUGAACUCGCUAAGCGUCACCGCUUACCCUCUCGAUGUUUAACACAUUGCAGGAGAUAAACAUCCAGUAUAGUUAUAUACUGGUAGAAGAUUUUUGAAUAGUUUGAAACUAUUGUAUCGAUGGAAGCUUAUGAAUAGUUUGAAACUAUUGUAUUUUGCACUCCCAUAUGUAUAAAACUAUAGAAUCCUGGGAAGUUGUGUAAUAUAUAACACUUUAAAAUAGUCGGUUUGUAUCCAGUAGUUUGUAAUCUCUUUAUCAAUGUAAAAUAUUGUUUUUAUGAAUAUGCAAGUAGCAUGUUUUGUAGUAAAUAUAUUGUCGAGUAUGAAAGUUUGGGUCUUUCAUAAAUACGAAAGUUAGGGUCUUUCACAACUAGCAUAUCAGAACUUGCAUGCAUAUCUAUUCCGUACUCAGCAUAUCAACGAAUAUCAAGUCAUCAAACCAAUGGGCCGGCCUUGGUGCCUUCGACCCAAAAAUACAAUGAGGAAAACUCACCUGAAGCGGCUGAAUAUCUAAGACAAAAGCUCAGACCGCUGACCCUGAAAUCCCCGCGCGCUCAAUAAUCUGAAUUGCUUGCCUAAUGACCAGGGUAAAAGCCCAUUUUAGCCUUUUUCCUACUUGGCCCAAAACCAAGGCCCGAUAUGGCCUAACAUCCUAAUUGGGCCCAAAAACCAUCAUGAAUCAAAUCUCACAAAAGCCCAUACUCAAUCCAUGGCCCAAGGUUAGAAGUCCAAUGGUCCCACAAGGCCCACCAAAAGACCCAAAUUCAACAUUCUAGGGAGUACUCCCCACGUACCAGAAGUGUACGCCCCACGUACUCACCCUCCCAACGCAAUGUACAAGUCCUUAAAGCAUGAAAUCCCAUUUAAGCUAAGCGUACUUCUGAUUACUCCUAGCGUACUCAUUAGGGGCCAAAUAUUCACAUUAAGCUCUUAUUGGGUUAAGUCAAAGGCAUCCAACCAUUUAUCUUCACCCUAAAUGAUGUCUUAACCCAUAAAGUCGAAACCUUUAAUCCUUUGCAUGUCUAAAGAGGGCUAAAUCUCCAAAAUCUUUUCUUUCAUAACACUCAAAACCAUUUAACUCUUACAUGGUUCUAUGGAAACAAUCAAGCAAGCAUUUUUAUGACUCAUUACACUUCAAGACCUUAGAAAGGAUACCUACAAUGCUUUGGAGUACUCCAUACUCACAAAGAUCCAAAAUUUAGAAUAAAAGCUCAUGACAAUAUGCCAUGAAAAGAUCUAAGAAUAGAGUCAUCAAGUUUCAAGCUUUAUACAUUUAGAAGAUAGAUCAUGAUGCAUUAAGCCUGGAUCCACAAGCUCCAAGCAAUCCCACGCUUCUCCAAGAAGCUCAUUCUUCUUCAAUGAGCACCAAGAUGCAUGAAAUACCACCAAGAACUCAAAAACUACAAAAAUAGAGGAUAGUGAUUCAUUUCUAGGGUUAAACAGGAUGGAGGCUGAGGAUAUUAGGGUUUGGUGGUGAGUUGAGGUGCUUGAAUAGGGUCUGAGGCCCUAAAUUAGGGUUUAGGACUAGCUGGAGUACACCCAGUGUACUUCUGGUACGCCCAGCGUACUCCCUAAGGCUUCCGCGAUCAUCAGAAUAGUACGCCCAGCAUACACUAAAGUACACCCCACAUACUGGACUUCUCACUAGCACGCCAUGCGUAAACUUGUGUACGCCUCGCGCCCAGAUAAACCCUAAAAUCACCCUAAACUUCUGAAGGCCAUAACUUCUACAUUAUAAGUCCGUUUUCGACGAACCUUAUAUCUACGAAAGGUAAUGAGAAGGUCUACACUUUUAUUAACUCAUCCAUGCACUAAAAAAUUUUGAAAAAAAAAAUCCAAAAUUCAUUUGUCACUUUAUGGUUAUACCCUUGGGUUCCACAUCAGAAACCGAACUUCCCAAAUCAUCUGUCCUACCUUACCCACACCAAAUGAUUUUAAAUCUCCCUUUCUCAAAGGCCCUAGGCCUUAUCAUCAUCAGUCUUUGGUUUGUACCCACGAAUUAGGAAACAAUUCGAGAUAGGGUGUUACAAUAAAAUGACAUAAUAUCAUGAUCUAAGAAUCUAAUGAUCAAGUUUGAGACUUUAUACCUCCAAAUGUACAUAAAUUAAUAUGAAGCCAAAGCUAUAUCUAAGCUUGAAAUUAGGCUCAUUAGAACCAUAAUGGACUUAUUUCCUCUUCAAGCUUCACAAACACAAGAAAACUUUAAGAACACGAGAAAAGGGAGGCUAACGUUGAAAGGGCAAUCCACGGAUGAUAGAGGCUGAGGGUGGAGUAAACCCUAGCCAUCACAUCCUUUAAAUUGGGCAUAAGGACCAAGAUCUAGGGUUUAGUUCCCAUCUGCCACCACAACACGGUGUGCACCUAACCAUGCCGCAACAUAAAUGACAUGGUCGCACUGUGGUCCAGAUUUAACCACGUCGUGGCAGGCUAAAGCCUCAAACCUUAAACUUAAAAUAAUUAAAUGUUCGAAGGAUCAAUACCUGAAAACAAGUGUUACAUUAUGGAAGAAUCAUUGUGAUGUGAAGAUGUUUCUAACAUCAUACUGCGAAUAGUUAUUCUUAAAUUUUGGAAGGAAUUGGAAAACUUAGAAGCAUAUUAUAUGUUUCGUCAGGUGAAACAGAUAUUCCUAAAAUACAAUGCUAUUUGGUUUGAGCUAGUUCAUACAUUGGAAGAAAGCAAAGCUAAAAAGAGUCUCCAUGUGUGCUCUAAGAAGCUUAUAGUUCAUGGAAAGGAUACCUAUAAGCCCAAGAAAUCUUGAAAUGCCCAUAAAGAUAGACUUUGUUUCUAUUGUAUGGAAACUAGGCACUUUAAGUGGAACUGGCCCUCUUAUAUGAAACUGGCUAGACCAAUCAUUCAGGUAACUAUUUUAUAGAUCUUAUACUUUUCAUUUAACACCCAAGGACUUGAUACUUUAUGUUAAUCUAAUAUUUAUAAAUGUUUAUAGAUAUUCAAGAAGAGUAAGAAUCUAAGAACAAGCAAGUUGGAACUUCACUAUAGGAGUUUAUUAUUUAUGCUUUGAACAUAAAAGUACUUGUAUUGUAACAUAAUAUUUGUUUUGUAACAAUGUGUGUUUAAAUUUAGCUAGGUUAAAUAUAUGUCACGGUUAAUUGAAUAGAUGAUUGAUUAUUUACUUAAUCUUUUUUCAUAACGAUCACCUACAUAUUCUUAAAUGAAUAAAUUUUGUUUUGAGAACUAUAUCUCUUAAUAGAAUUAUAAAGUAAAUAUAAAUGUUUUAUAAAUAUAGGUUCUAUAAGCAAACACUUUUUACUCAAACAUGAUUUGAAUCAAACUUACCUAUGACAUUGUUAUAUUUAUUAUAUAAACAAAAUACACAUAAUCCAACUUCAAGAAAUAGAUUUUUGAAGGCAAAUAAUAUAAUUUGUUUGAUAUAUGUGACUCUUAUUUAUAAAUAAAAUGUUACUAAUUCUAUUUUCACGAAACUGUUGAGAAAAUAAUUAUUAAGGAACUAUACAUAGUGAUGUAUGACUUCCUGUUAGGGUGCAAAGUCACUCUGGGAUGUAAUGUUUUAGGCUUACCUUCUUGUAUGUGUAAAUGGGUUGAGUCUGUCCUAUAAAUAGGAAGUGAGUGACUCCCAUUAUGUAAGGAACCAUUAGGAGUGUUAGACUAAAGAGAGAAACUUUGUACAAACCCAUUUGUAUAUUAUUUCUAGAUCUAAUAUGAGCUUACAAAGAUUUAUUUACUACUUGUGUUCUUGAUUUUACAUGAUGAUUCACUAGAUCUUUUCUUAUUCCGCACAUGCCAUCAUAAUCAACACCACUACACUUCCCUUCUAAUGAAUGUCUAGAUUUAGUACAAGAUAACUCAUGAACUUUAUUAACAACUAUAGUCCUUGUAAUUAUAUUUUCUAAUAGGUAGAAAUUAUCUUCCUCUACCCUUUUGGGAUUAUGCCAUCAUCAUUAUCACUUGUAUUUCGAAUAAAACACCAACUAAGAAGUAGAUAAAAUACUUUAUAAGAUUUAGUAUGGAAAGGCUCCAUCAUUAUCUUACUUAAUGUUUUGAGGAUUUAAGGCCUAUGUUAAACUAAAGCUUCUAGAGCCAAAAUAUACUAAAUACAUAUUUGUAAAAUAUUCCAAAAGGUUAUUUAGAUCAUUAUAUACAAACUCACCAAGAAUAAGAUCUUUUAUUCCUUUAAAAGUUGAGUUGUUAGAAAGCAAACUUCUAAUUAACAGAGAAAAUGGGAGGCAGAUGGAACUUGAAGUAUGUUGGAUCUAGAUGCUCAAGAAUCAUUAUUUGAAUGAUUUUUCUAAUAUCAUAUGAUCCGAUAGGGUCACACUUUAAUCAAGUUGGUACCUACCGAAUAUUUAUUAAGUAUUUGAUUAUUAAUAAAUAAGCUCAACUAGUUACUACAUCAUAUGGUAUGAUUAUAAGUUGUUAAAUGUGACUCGAGCAUUUAGACCAUGUUCAUGGAGCAUUUGGAGCACUUGGGGUUCAUCGAGCAUGUGACAAAGGAAAGGAUCAUCUGAGAAAGGAACGGAUCAUCUGAAAAAGGAAUGGAUCAAGUGCCAAAGGAACAGAACGUACCAAAGGGGGUUUGGAUCACCUGGAAGAGGUUUGGAGCACUUGGGAGUGAUAUGGAGCAACAAGGAAACCUUUUUGUGCCAUCUGUUGAAGGGUUGCGCCAAGAAGGAUGUUGUUGUGCCAAGGGCAUUCCUUCUCGCGCCAAGCAUAUCCCUCUUGCACCAUGAAGAAGCCUUGUUGCGCCAAGUAGGUUCUUGUUGCGCCAAGCAUGUACUUGUUGCACCAAUAUGGUAAUUGUUGCACCAAGGUGAUGAUGUUGCUCCAAUCUAGAAUUUCUUGUGCCACUCUUGAUGCCUGUUGCACCUUCUUUGCAUAUGUUGUGCCAUCAUGGUGCAAGAUGGGCCAUUUUGGUUCCCUGAUGAGCCAUGGUAUCCCUCAUGAGCCAAGUAUACUAUGAAGUCCUCUAUGAUUCUCAAGAUCGUUAAAGGAUGCUCUAAAGUUGGUAUUGCUCACGAAUUACACCAUGUUGUGUCACCAUGAUGGAUGUUGGGCCUUUAUUUUUAUAUGAUGUGCAACUUGUACGUCAUGAUGCUCCACUAUGGCACAAGGUGCUCCAUCAUGUGUGUUGUUGAUGCUCAUGGGUUGUAUGACAUGGAAGAAUGUUCUAGAAGAUGAUGCGUGGUGGAAUAUGAUUGGUUUUCACCAUUCAUCAGCCUAUAGGCCAAUGGGCUUGGCCUAUUAGGGUUUUAUGUCUGAUCCCUCAAGUAUAAAUAGGGAUGCAUGCAGUGUCAUUUGAUGUGUCUUGUAUCUUGUAUCUUGUAUCCUUAGUGAGUAGGACGAAUCUCGGGUGAAUUUUACUUGUAACCUCUGUUUGAGAACUCUUAAAUAAAGAAUACUCCCCUCCUGCCCAUGGACGUAGGUCGCCUUAACUAAACCACGUAAAUAUUGUGUCUUUUUGUGCUUAUAGUUUUGCUUGUUAUCUGAAUUACUUCCUAAAAAGGGUCAUCAGAAGUUCACAAGUGGCAUCAGAUUUGUUCCAAGUGUUGAAAAAUUUUGCUUGUUUUCCCUAACAAGUGGUAUCAGAGUUGCGGUUGGUGUUAUGUUGAUUGAAGAUGGCAUCUCAUAAGUUCGAUUUGGAGAAGCUCAAUGGUUCGAAUGAUUUCACUUUCUAGAAGGUGAAGAUGAAGGAUCUUCGGGUUCAACAAGGAUGUGCAGCGGCACUGGAAGGUGAAGCGAAACUGUCAAAGGACAUGGCGGCUAAAAGGAAGGUGGAUAUUCUUGAAAUAGUGCAUAGUGCUAUUCUGUUGAGUUUGAAAGACAAAGUACUAAGAGAGGUCGUGGAUCAAACUGGUGCUGGUGGGCUUUGGGAGAAAUUGUGUGACAAGUAUCAGAACAAUUCUCUGAUGAACAGGCUAUACCAGAAGCAAUGUUUGUAUACUAUUAAGAUGUCAAAAAGCACCCAAGUCAAGGAUCAUCUGGACAACUUCAAUAGGAUUAUCUUGGACCUACAAGGUGUGAAUGUAAAGAUUGAAGAUGAAGAUCAAGAACUUAUCCUCUUAUGUUCACUGCUGAUUUCUUAUAAGAAUUUCCUUGAGACCAUGUUGUAUGAUAGGACAACAAUCAAUAUGAAUGAUUCAAAGGAUUCUUUGAUGUCCAAGGAACUAAAAAGAAAAGUUUCAGUUGGAGAAGAAGUUUUCAGUUUCGGUUUGUUCGCAAUCAGAGGAAGAACAUUGAAUAGAGGUGAAGGUAACAAAGGGAACUCAAGUUUCGAAUCUAAAGCUAAAAUCAAAUGUUAUAACUGCAAGGAAAAUGGGCACUUUAUAAGAGAUUGUCCAUUGCUGAAGAAAGGGAAUAAUGGUGUUGGACCAAGCAACAACAAUGUUGCUAUGGUUUAAGGAUAGUCUGAUGAAGGAGAUUCUCAAGUCUGCUCACUUAGAUCUAUGGGGUUCAUCUCCUGUGAAAUCUCAUGGUGGAUGUCAAUAAUUUGUGACUUUUAUCAAAGAUUACUCAAGGAAGACCUGGGUGUAUUUUCUAAAGACAAAGGAUGAAGGUGAAGUGUUUGUGUGGUUCAAGGAGUGCAAGAUGAUGGUUGAGAAACAUACUGGGAACCAUGUCAGGUCACUCGGAACAGAAAAUGUGUUGGAAUUUUGCAAGGCUUCACUUGACAACUUCUGUAAAACGUAAGGUAUAGUGAGGCAUCACACUGUAUGGAUAACACAACAGCAAAGUGGAGUGGCAUAACAAAUAAACCAAAUAUUGGUGGAGCAUGCUCAAUGCAUGCGAUUAUUUGCUAAUUUAUCAGAGCAAGUCUAGGAAAAAGUAGUCAAUACUGCUUGCUAUUCUGACGAAUGGAUCUUUAUCAACUACAAUUGAUUUUAUGAAUCCUCAAGAGGUCUGGUCUCGGAAACCCUCUGAGAACACUAGUUUACGAAUGUUUUGAUGCUCUACUUAUACUCGUGUGAAUGAUGGUAGAGUGGAGCAAAGGGAAAUAUAGUGCAUAUUUCUACGAUAUGAAUCUGGAGGGAAAGGUCAGCGUCUGUGGUGUACAGAAGAACAAACUCUGAAAUUAUUUAUUAGCAGAGAUGUGGCCUUUGAAUCAGCUAUGUGUAACCAUAGAGGAGGUGGUAUAAGUGUUGUAGGAACGAUCAUGGUGCUAGCCAGAAGGUGGAGUUUAAAAUAGAAACCCCACACAGCUUUGUGAUAAAUGUUGAACAACAGGGUGGCAUGGAUCAACAUAGUUAUGAGGAAUCCCUUGAACAACCCAGGGAAGAAGUGUCUGGUGAUGCUAAUUCUAGGAAAGACAACUUGAAGAAGAUUCUGUAGAAUGAGCUUGUGAGCAAUGAUUUAGGAGCUGAAAAGAAGUUAACAAGGAUAGCGAUUUGGAGUGAUAGAAUAGUAGGGUGAUUAUACAUUUCUCACUACAUUGAGAAAGUCUUACUAUGACAUCCCCAAAAUCUCGGCCAGAAAAGACCGAUUUUCAUUUAUGCUUUUAAAUAUUUUCAGAGUAAAUCCUUUUGAUUUGAAAGAGUUGCGGAAUUUAUUCCCAAAAACAAAGCAUGAUAAAACAAUGUUUACCAAAGCAUUUCAUAAAAGAAAUGUAUUUUCAUUAUAAUCAAAAAUCGGGGUGUCAUGUUCCGAUACAGACCAAUAAGCAUAAACGAAUACAUUACAAGUCAUAUAACAAAUAUAAACAUAUGCAGACUUGUAAACAAAACAACUUGAUGGUUCAUCCAUCUCAUGCCCUUCCGCCACUUCCUGUAAUACAAUUUAAAACUGAGUGGGUCAGGCUUGGGAGCCUGGUGAGCAUAUAGGGUUUUCAACCCACAAUAAAUAUCAUAUUUAAUUUUCACCAACCAACAAUAACCCAAUUACCCAUUCCCGUUAUUCUCACUUUAAUGUCCCUAAAACAACUAACAUAAGGGACCUAGUCUAAGAAUAUUUCAUCGGGGCGACAACACAUGCUUCGGGGGUACCUCAGCAAUAUAAGUCAAAUAAGGCAACCAUGAGGGGGAUGGAGUACAGCGAAUGAACACCCAAGUUCAUUAACACCUACAGGUGGCGAACCUGCUAAUGUUUCCACAAGACUGUCUAGAAUAGCCAGUGGUCGUCAUCUAAACUCCGCUAGAUGACUCAAUCAAACAACAACGAGGCCUCUCAUCUGUUUAUUACACACCAACUGUCUACCCAUGUUCUACCCAACAUAUUAGUAGAUAAAAAUAUACAUUUGUAUACAUAGUUUAAAGAAAACCUGUAUAGCAUGCUUUAAUCAACACAUAUAUCACAUAACAGAUGAGGCACACACACACAUAACACAUAUCUCAUAAAGAAAUAAGCAGAUCUAUAAGAUAGAAGAGAGUGAAUACUCAUUCACACAUAACACAACCAAAUAUAUACACAUAGCACGUAUUUUUAUAUAAAAUACUUCGUAUUAUUGUAUUAGAAGAAAUAACUACACACUCACUUGAUCAGAAGAUGAUCGGACAGCACUACGGCUUAUAGAAGUAGUAAUCCACAGCAGAUCUGGAAGAUCUUCUCGAAAAUCGAACUUCUCGCGGGCAGAGCUUCGACUCGGGAACCGCACUUCUCGGGAUCUUCGGGAUCUCGGGACUUGCCUCGGGGCUAGAGUAUGAUACCGGGGCUUCGGGGUAGCUUCGGGGGUAAAAAUGCAGAGCUUCGACACGAAAAUGAGAGGGAAUUGGCAAAAAUACCCGGAACCCUCGCAUCCUAUUUAUAGGAGGCUGGAGCCUCGGAGUACGCGGGGCGUACUGCAGUACGCAGCGCGUACUGCGUCCGAAAUCGUCACUGCAUGCGUCAUCCGAAGUGUCGACACUCUCGGAGUACGCGGGGCGUACGUCGGAUCGGACUGGUGACUCCCCCUUCGGAUAAUGCCGGAUUUUUGAUUUAAAAAUAAAUACAAUUUAUUUAUCAAACUUCGGAAAUUCAUAUCUUCUUCAUACGGACUCCGUUUUCGACGUUCUUUAUAUCCACGGAAAGGUGAGACCAUGCUCUAUGACUUUCGUUUAGACUCCGUCGGCUAAUUUUGAUUUAUUUUUAUUAAUUAUUUUUAAUAGGCCGGGACAGAAACUUUCGUUAUAAAUUCAUAACUUCUUCGCUUGACGUCCGUUCUCGCCUAACUUUUUAUCGCUUCGAUACCAAAAAUGAGAUCUUCGAUUAUCAUUUAGAUUUCUUCGGCUAACAACCGCUUGAUCCCAAAUCGAGUAAAACAGGUUGUAUACCGCUAAGCCGGAACUUCGAUAAAUCAUAACUUCCUCAUACGAAGUCAGAUUUGGGCGUUCUAUAUAUAUUCGGAAACCUCGUUUCAACUACUACAACAUAAAUCAAAGAUAUUAAGUUUAUUUUACACUUAAAUUUUGAUGCUUAUUUUUAUUCUUAAUUAAUCAAACCACAUAAUUAAGCAAUUAAGCACAAAACACAUAAUACUCAAAUAAUACAAUCUUAAUAUUUCAAAACGGGUUACAAAGGUUAACCUAGACCAUUACAUUGCUAAAAGUGGCAAGCCCGGAAACACAGGCAUUCACUUACAGUUGUUCUAUCAUUAUCAGUCCAAACGUGUUGGUACUUCUUUGGCGGUUCGAGGCAAUCGGGGAAAAACUCAUUGGGAUGUGGUCAAGUGGAUCUUGCGACACUUGAAGGGAAGGCUUGAUGUUUGUCUAGUUUAUGGUGAAAAUGCAUGAAAACGGACUUCGUUGGGAUUGAUAGACUUGGACCAUGAAAGUGAUCUAGAGAUAAGAAGAACAUUUGUGGUUGGUCCUGUAUAUAGUCUUCUUUUGAAGGUGGAGAAACCUAUCAUGCUCUAUGACAAGCUACGCAUUCAAAAGUUUGGUGUUAUGGAGAAUCCGAAAGACAUUGUGACAGGUCGUUUCCCAGACAGAAUUUCAAGCUUUGCUUGGACUUAUUUGAUGUUCGUAGGAGGUAAGGGCCUUCAGGGCUUGAUGGCAGGGUGGGAGAAGAAGUUCUUGUUUGAGGUGGAGUUCAUAGGAUGCUCAAGUCAAGGUGGAGAUUGUUAAAUGUGACUCGAUAAUUUGGAUCAUGUUCAUGGAGCAUUUGGAUCAUGUUCUUGGAGCAUUUGGAGCACUUGGAACUCAAUGGAUCACUUGGCGUUAAUGGAGCAUGCGACAAAGGAAAGGAUCAUCUGAGAAAGGAACGGGUCAUCUGACAAAGGAACGGAUCAAAUGCCAAAGGAACGGAUCAUACCGAAGGGGUUUUGGAGCACCUGGAAGAGGUUUGGAGCACUUGGGAGUGAUAUAGAGCAACAAGGGAACCUUUUUGCGCCAUCUGUUGAAGUUUUGGGUCAAGAAGGAUGUUGUUGCGCCAAGGGCAUUCCUUCUUGCGCCAAGCAUAUCCCUCUUGCGCCAUGGAGAGUCCCUCUUGCACCAUGAAGAAGCCUUGUUGCGCCAAACAUGUACUUGUUGCGCCAAUAUGGUCCUUAUUGUGCCAAGGUGAUGAUAUUGCUCCAAUCUAGAAGUUCUUGUGCCACUCUUGAUGUCUGUUGCGCCACCAUGAUGCAAGAUGGUCCAUUUUGGUUCCUUGAUGAGCCAUGGUAUCCCUCAUGAGCCAAGUAUGCUAUGAAGUCCUCUAUCAUGCUCAAUAUCGUUCAAGGAUGCUCUAAAGUUGGUAUUGCUCAAGGAUUACACCAUGUUGUGCCACCAUGAUGGAUGUUGGGCCAUUAGUUUUCAUGAUGUGCCACUUGUACAUCAUGAUGCUACACUAUGGCACAAGGUGCUCCAUCAUGUGUGUUGUUGAUGCUCAUGGAUUUUAUGACAUGGAAGAAUUUACUAUAAGAUGCUGCAUACAUGGAAUAUGAUUGGUUUUCACCAUUAAUGGGCCAAUAGGCUUGGCAUAUUAGGGUUUUAUGUCUGAUCCCUCAAGUAUAAAUAGGGAUGCAUGCAGUGUCACCUGAUGUGUCUUGUGUCUUGUAUCUUGUAUCCUUAGUGAGUAGGACGAAUCUCUUGUGAAUUGUACUUGUAACCUCUGUUUGAGAACUAUGAAAUAAAGAAUACCCCCUCCUGCUCGUGGACGUAGGUCGGCUUGAUCGAACCAGGUAAAUACUAUGUCUUUGUGUGCUUAUAGUUUUGCUUGUUAUCCGCAUUACUUCCUAACAAGGGUCAUCAGAACUUGGCAAGUGGCAUCAGAUUUGUUCCGAGUCUUGACAAGUUUCGCCUGUUUUCCCUAACAUAAGUCAUGUACAAAUGUUUCGGACACUUUGGGUAACUAUGACCUAUAUAAUUUGGUUGUACAAAUGUUUCGGACACUUUGGGUAACUAUGACCUAUAUAACUAUGACCUAUAUAAUUUGGUCGGACACUUUGGGUAACUAUGACCUAUAUAAUCAUAUUUGUUCCGAUUCUUGACAAGUUUCGCCUGUUUUCCCUAACAUAAGUCAUGUACAAAUGUUUUCCCUUGUCCUCCAUUCUCCUCUUACUAGACAUUAAUUUAGAGCAUUAUAAUGUAUAGCCUUUACCUUUCAUGGGGAUAUAAUUAGAGACUCUUUGCAUGGAAAUUUUCUAGUUCAUUUUUCCCUCUAAUCCUCUAAAAUUUGUGGGUUUCUACCCCUUGAAGCUCUCUCUUUUGUAGUUUGAUACUUGGAUUUUGGUGGAUCCUUUGUGUCUUCCUUUAGUGCUUAUUUUGUUAAGCACCAAAAGGCUUAAAGAACAAAGAAUAUAAGAAGGACACUAGCAUUUCUUGGUACCUUAAUAUUUGUGGUGGAUACUUGUAGAUAAUAUCAUCCUCUUUGAUCUUUCCAUCUUCAUCAACACCCCAAAAAUAAGUGGGUUCAAAGGCUCCAAAGGUUGUAAUUCUAAAACACCCUAUGGUUGGUUUUAAUAUCAUUCUAACCUCUUUAAAAGGAUCCUUGGUGGUUUUCUUUUUAAAUAAACUUGAAAAUUCUUAGUUAAAUUUUAAUGCUUUUGUUGCGGUUUAAAAAAAAAAAGAAAAAACUCUUAUUUCAAGUGACAAAACCCAUCGGUGGUAUCAGAGCCAUCUUUUAUAUGUUAGAAUGAUUUUUUAUGUUUGAUAGUCUUUGGUUUUUUGGAAAACAAGCAUGGAAUUCUUUUUGGCUAAAUAAAUGUUCAUAUUUUUUUUCUUUGGCAACUUGUAGGUUAAAAGUGUUUAUUUUUAUAUAACCAUUUUUCCAUGCAUUUUGGUUAUAUAAAAGUUUCCUUAGAAAAAACAAAGAGUUGUUUAUUAAUAUGUUUGAGGUUGUUGUUGUUGUGUAUAAACAAGUCAUUAGGACAUUUUUGUUGUUAUUUAUUUAUUCAUAUGAUGAUGUAAUAGAUAAAUAUGUAUUAUUUCAUUUCUUUAUUUUUAUAUGUAAUAAAUUAGUUUUAGACUAUAUAUUUAAAAAAAAAUAAGAAUAUGGAGCAUGAAGACCUUAGGAAGACAUGGACCUUUUGAAGACCUUGAAGUGUCCUAAUAAGUAUUUUAGGAAAUGACUUAAUAUUUGUUGUGAUGGCUCACAAUAAAUAUUACUAGAAAUGGUUUUGUUUAUACACUUAUAAUGUAUGCUUGUGAUGUUUAUUUCUGGCUACUAUAAAGUGGUGUAUGUACGUAAAUGUGUUUUCAUGCUAAAAACAUUUUGACAAAAAAAAUAACAUCAAAUUGGGGCUUAGAAUUUUAAAUAAAAUUUUCCAACAUAAGAUUUCAAAAUUUGAGUUUUUGUUAAAAGAGAUUUAAUUUUUUAGAACUCUUAAAUAAACAAACUUCUAAAAAAUUUAAAAAGGUUUAAAAUGUUUUUUAAACUUAAUCUAAACUCCAUAACUCUAUAAUAAAAGGAAGUUUUAUUCAAAGUUAAAACCGGUUCCUAUCAUUAUAACGUCGAAUUAAAAUUGAAUAUUAAUUUUAACCAUUAAAAUUAGACAUGAAAUAAAUUCAACUUUAUAAUUUUUGGAACACUUAAAAUGUAUCAUGGAAUAUUUUAUGCAUAAAAUAAUCAUGAUACAAAAUGUUUUAAUACGGUAUAAACAUAAAACAUCUAUAAAUCCCUUUUUCUGAAACUUCAAAUCUAUGUAAUCCAUUUAAAAAUCACUUCGCAUUUUUUGUGCAAUUCUUGUGGAUAUUGGGUCAUCUUAUCUAUUUGGAAUCUCAAAAAAUGCCCAAGGUGUUUUAUUUACUUAUGGGAUAACGGUCACCUAACCAUUUUUGACAUAUAAUUCACAAGUUUUUUAAAUGGAUGAUUUGAUCAAGUUCUUAUGUGAUAAAGGUCACCUAAGCAUAAAAGUCUUGAGGAAUAGAUGGGAUGAACAUGUGAUUAAAAAUAAAGAAUGUUUUUGGGAUACCACUAAUCUAAGAAUUACAUAAGAGUUGUAAUUGGUUAUCGCAACCUACCGAUCAACAAAAUCACUUGUGUUGUGGGUCACCACCUCAAGUUAUUUUGGGUGAUAUGGAUCUUAGCUUUUCGAGUUUAAUUUAAAGGGUAGUUAAUUUUAAAAGAAACUAUAUCAAAGAUAUUUAAAUGGAUCUUAUUAUUUUGUAGAUGACUAACCGAACUGUAACCACCUCAUUGCUCACUAUCCAAUCCAUCCUUGAAAAAGAACAACUAAGUGGACCCAACUUUCUUGAUUGGUUCGAACAAAUUAGGAUUGUCCUCAAACUUGAGAAAAAGUACUAUGUUCUUGAUGAACCUAUUCCAUAAUAGCUCCCACAAAAUGCCACCAAGUCUUUGAAAGAUGCUUGGGCGAAACUUGUAAAUGAUUCGACUGAAGUGGCUUGCAAGAAUGUCCCCUAAGCUUCAGAAAAAUUUUGAGUUUCAGGAAGCAUUUGACAUGAUUGAGCAACUUAGAAUCAUGUUUCAAGUUCAAGCUAAGCAAGAGAGGUUUGAGACAUUGAAUGCUUUCAUUGGUUGCAAAAUGACUGAUGGAUCUUUUGUGAAUGCACAUGUACUCAAAAUAAAAGCUUACACUAAGCAACUUGCCUGCCCAAAAUUCCCUUUUAGGGAUAAUUUAGCGAUCGAUGUGAUCCUAUCCUCAUUGCCAAAGUCAUUCAACCAAUUUGUGUUGAACUUCAAUAUGAAUGGAUAGGAGGAGAGCAUUAAUGAUCUUCAUUCAAUGCUCAAGAAUGUCGAGGAAAACAUCAAGAAAUUUGGGAAUCAAGUGUUGAUGAUCCACCAAUAUCAAAUCUCCAAGAAGAAAACAGGUAAUGUUAUCAAUAAGGGGAAAGGCAAAGCUGCCAAGAAAGGCAAGGGCAAGGGAAAGGGUCAAGGGAAUCCGACUGCUACCAACCCAACUCCUAUGCCCAAACCUAUCGUUGACUCUGAUUGCUUUCAAGUACCUAGAGGAAGUUAAGAAAAACAAAGCCAACAAGGUUGGCACCUGAUGUGUGUGUGUGUGUAUAUAUAUAUAUAUAUAUAUAUUUGUGUGUGUGUGAUUGAAUUAUAUGCAUUCCAUACUAAUUCUUGGGUAUUCGAUGUUGGAAGUGGUACUAACAUUUACAGUGAUUUGUUGGGACUAAAGAAUGUUAGAGAACUCAGAGAUGGCGAUUUGGAACUCCAUGUGGGCAAUAGCACUGGAGUACAUAUCAAAGCCAUAGGACAAUAUCAUGUUUUGCUUCCAAAUGGUCUUAAUCUUAUUUUGAGAAAUUAUUGUUAUGUACCUAGUAUAACUAGGAAUAUUCUCUCUACUUUAUGUUUGUAUGAAAAAGGUUUUUGUUAUAAGUUUGACUUUUAUUCUGGAAACAUAUAUGUGUUUAAAGAUAAUGUGUUCUAUUUUGAGACUGUCCCAAUAGGGGAAUAUAUGAAAUCGAUUUAAAUGGUUCAUACCAAAUGGAAAUUUUAAUAUACAACUUAACAAAUAAGAACACAAAGUUGGACAUAAGUAAAACUUAUUUAUGGCAUUGUUGCCUUGGGAAUAUAAACAAAACUCACAUUUCUAAGCUUCAAAAUGAUGAAUUCUUAUAAUCAACAGGCUCAGAGUCUUUUGAUGUACGUGAAUCAUGUUUAUAUGGAUAUAUGACCAAAGCUCCUUUUACCGGUGUUGGUGAGAGAACUUCAGAUCUAUUAGGACUCAUACAUACUGAUGUAUGUGGACCUUUUAGAACAAUGACUAGAAACAGUGAAAGAUACUUCAUUACAUUUACUGAUGACUUCAUUAGAUUUGGGUAUUUGUAUCUCAUGAAACACAAACAUGAAGCAUUCUAUGUCUUCAAGGUAUUCCAAAAUAAAUAUAUAAUCAGUUAGGGAAAAGAUUAAAACCAUACGAUCAAAUCAUGGUGUUAAAUAUUUAAGCUAUGAGUUUGAUGAACAUCUUAAGAAUUGUGGCAUAGUGUCACAACUCACUCCACCGGGAACAACACAGCAUAAUGGUGUCUCAAAAAAGGAUAUAUCAUACUAUACCAGAUAUGGUACGAUCGAUGAUGAGUCACACUUCCUUUUUUCAUUCAUUUUGGGGUUAUGCCCUCGAUACCACAGCUUGAAUUGUAAACAUGGUCCCAACUAAAAAGGUUAGUAAGACUCCCUAUGAGUUAUGGCAUGGAAAAGUUUCAUCAAUGUCUUACUUAAAUAUUUGGUGUUGUGAAGCAUAAGUUAAAAGAGAGACUUCUAACAAGCUUGAACCAAUAUCUCAAAAGUGUAUCUUCAUAGGAUACCCAAAAAAAAACAUGGGUUACUACUUCUUUCGGAAAGAAGAGAACUGAGUGUUCAUAGCCCAGAUAACAGUUUUCCUUGAAGAUGAAUUUAUCUUGUAUAAAGAAAGUGGGAGCCCCAUUGAUCUCGAAGAAAUUCGAGAAACACAACCUUUAGUUGUGAAUGAUAAUCAACAAAACAUUGUUGAACCUGAAAUUCUCAUUCAGAUGUCGAAAAACACAACAAUUGUAUGACGCUCAAGUAGACCUCGUUAGGAACCUGAUAGAUUUGCAUUUGUCAUUCCUGAAGAGGAAGUCUUCAUGAUGGAUCAAUUUGAACCCAUCAAUUUCAAAGCAGCUACUACAGAUCUAGAAUCUGAAAAAUGGCUUGAAGCCAUGAGAGCUGAAAUCUAACACAUGAAUGAAAAUCAAGUAUGGGACUUGAUUGUCUUACCUCUAAACAUCAGAGUUGUUAGAAGAAAUUUGAUCUUUAAGAAGAAGAUCGGCGUGGAUGGAUAUGUACAAACAUUCAAAGCAAGACCUGUUGUGAAAGGGUAUACUUAAAUUCAAGGCGUUUACUAUGAAGGUACCUUCAUGCCAGUUGCUAAGAUUAAAUCUAUGAGGGUGAUGAUGGCCAUAGCUGCAUAUUACGACUCUGAGAUAUGGCAAAUGGAUGUCAAAACUGCUUUCCUUAAUGUAUAUCUUGAGGAAGAUGUCUAUAUGGAACAGCCUUAAGGUUUUGUCAACGGAAAUAUCCUAAAGAAGUUAUGCAAACUGAAGAAGUCUAUUUAUGGAUUAAAACAAGCAUCUACGGCCUGGUAUACAUCAAAAUAAGUGGGAGCCAAAUGGUUUUUCUAAUUUUGUACGUGAUGACAUAUUACUGAUCGGGAAAGAUAUCCUAACAUUAAAAGAAACUAAGGCUUAACUUAGUAAGUUAUUUCAAAUGAAAAGAUCUAGGGGAUGUUGCAUACAUACUCGAUAUUAGGAUCUAUAGAGAUAGAUCACAAAGACUCAUUGGUUUGAUUCAGAGCAUACAUAUUGACAAAGUAUUAAAACACUCUUCAAUGGAUAACUCAAAAUGAGGAAUUGUACUAAUACUUCCUGGCACCAUUCUUUCUGAGGCAGACUACCCUAGUAUUGAUGAUGAGAUCAAAAGAAUGAGUUGCAUAUCAUACGCUUCAUCAGUAAGUUCAAUUAUGUAUGAUAUGACAUGUACAAGGACGGAUAUAGAUUAUGUUAUUAGUUUAACUAGUAUAUAUCAAGCUAAUCCUGGCGAAAAACAUUGGAUGGUUGUAAAGAACUUACUUAAGUACUUAAGAAGGACUAAAGACAUGUUCCUAGUUUUUGGAGGAGUUGAGGAAGAGCUUGAUGUAAGAUGUUAAUCUGAUGCUAGAAGUUGAUUGGAUGAAGAAAUUCAUCGGUGAUCUGAAUGUUAUUCAAGGAACAAAAAUGACAUUGAGAUGCUUUGUGACAACAGCGGUGUUCUCUCUAUCGCAAGAGACGCGAUGGUUACCAAAAAGACUAGACACAUUCAACGUAAAUUCAAUUUCAUUCAUCAAGAAUUGGAAUUGGGUAAUAUACGUAUUGAGAUGUUCAUACGGAUGAGAAUCUAUCAGAUCCUUUCACAGACACUCUUUCUCAAAACAAGUUUGAGGGACAUGCAAAAGGAAUCAGCCUUCGAUUAGCUAGUGACUGGAUUUAAAUUUGUACUUUACUAAUAUCUGGGUAUUUUGAACAAUUUAGCAAUGAUAUGUAAUCUCCUUUGAUAUAUGAGAUAUCUCUUUUGUGUUGAAAUUGUUGUGUUCUAUAUUAAGCAUGUUAUUUAAUCCUUUAAUAAUGUCUUUAUUCAAAAUUUUCCAUAGUCAGUCACUGUUGUGGGAGCAACUGUGAAUUAAGACUAAUAUGAAUCGGAUUGGUUGAUUUCAAGUGGUGAAAUAGCAAAAUGUUGCAUCCAUAUUCAUAUGUACUUGUUAGAGAACAACUAUUGGAUAUGACCCGCGUCAAGAGUCACUUCAUGGAUCUUUAUCAUAAGUGAAUCUUGAACACUAGUAAAUAUAUUUAUGUCUUUUGACCAGAGAUACAUAUUGGAGAACUCAAGUAUAAGAAUUGUUGUACUUUGACAUGGUUAAACACUGUUUGUAACCAUGCAGUCAUAAAAGCCUUCGUUGGGUAUAACAUGAACUAUAUGAGAGUGUGUAUGUAGCCAAAAUGGGAUUUGUUUCUCUUAUGUGUUGAGAUUUAGAUGUCUAAGGCGUCUUACAUAAAUUUGGAUGUCAAAUGAGAAUGAUUAUGUUCCAUGUUUCAUAUCCAACAUGAAAUCUGAAACAAAGAGAAUGUUGAUACACUUACCUUAUAUGCUUCAAUUAUAUCCUUGAGCUCCUGGAAUUGGAUGUUGAUUAAUGGCAGCCCUUUCUGUGUUGUUAGGGGGAGUAGCUCGUUGUUACACGUCAGCUACUGUUUGUGUCAGUCUACAAUGAAUCUUAUGCAAGUGGGAGAUUAUUGGAUCUAUAUUCUCAAGAAUCAUUAUUUGAAUGAUGUUGCUAAUAACAUAUGAUCCUAUAGAGUCACACAUUAAUCAAGUUCGUACUUAUGGAAUAUUUAUUAAGUAUUUGAUUAUUAAUAAAUAAGUUCAACUCUUGUAUUUAAUUAGAGAGUAAUUAUUGCUUUAUGAAAAUAAUAAAAGAAACAAAAAAAACUAGUUAUUGCAUCAUGUGGUAUCAUUAAUAAGUCAUGUACAAAUGUUUUGGACACUUUGGGUAACUAUGACUUAACUAAUUUGGUUGGACUAAUUGGUAAAAGGAACUUGAAGAUAAUUUUUGUCUUCAUUAGGACUUGUGGUUGUAGCUUUCAUAAAGGAUGGAGGUUGCUUGUCAACCUCUACUCCCUUGUCCCCCAUGCUCCUCUUACUAGACAUUACUUUAAAGUAUUAUAAUGUAUAGCCUUUACCUUGAAUGGGUAUAUAAUAAGAGACUCUUUGCAUGAGAAUUUUCUAGUUCUUUUUUCCCUCUAAUCUUCUAAAAGUCGUGGGUUUCUACCCCUUGAAGCUCUCUCUCUCUUUUGAAGUUUGAUAUUUGGCUUUUGGUGCUUCCUCUGUAUCUUUCUUUAGUGCUUAUUUUGUUAAGAACUUAAAGGCUUAAAGGCCAAAGCAUACAAGAAGGAAACUAUAAUUUCUUAGUACCUUAAUCUUAGUGGUGGAUACUUGUAGAAAAGAUCAUCCUCUUUGAUCUUUCCAUCUUCAUCAACACCCCAAACCAACUGGGUUCAAAGGCUCCAGUGGUUGUCAUUCUAAAACACCCUAUGGUUGGUUUUAAUAUCAUUCUAACCUAUUUAAAAGGAUCCUUGGUGAUUUUAUUUUGAAAUAAACUCGAAAAUUACUAAUGAAAUUUUAAAUCUUCCGUUGUAGUUUUUAUGAAAAACUGUCUUAUUUUAAGUGUCAAAACCCAUCAAAGUAGCUCAAGAACCAUAGCUAGAUGUAGCAAACGUUGGAACUAGGUUUAACAAGAAACUGUUAAACAUGAAUAAUAACUAUUCAUAAUCACAAAUUGUUCGCAUAUAUGGUAGAAAUCAUCUAUAACAUUCGAAAUAUGGAAUCUCUCAUUGAUGAGUUUUUCUUGUUGGUUUCCGGCAAAUCCAUCAACUACCAAAAUGUUAAAUCAGACUUUGAAACUGAUAAAUGACUUAGACUCAUGAAAGAUGAUAUGUAAUCCAUGUACAAUAAUCAAGUUUUGUCUAAGCUAGUGCAAAUAUUACAACUUAGACAAGCUUAUCUGUCGGAGUUUGUUUAGUUAGUUAAUCUGAAUAUAUGUUGAUGGAAGUUCAUAAAUUGAAGACUGAACACCAGAUUUGAGCAGCCUUAGCUUAUCAGUUCUUGAACUAAUCUUUGAAGUCUUGGUACUGCUGAAGAUCAUCCCCUGAUGACAAAAUCCCAUGAUACCAAAAGACAUUAAAGACACUAUCAGCACCAAAGGCAUGAAGACACCAUUCACUGAAUACUGAUCAGUGUGUCCAUGUAACAUCCCGAGAUUUAGGUACUUGUAAAUUCAUCCCUAUGGUUUUAUCAUAUGAAAUUUUAGUCCUUAAGUCCAUGAGAAUGAGCCUUGAAGCCUUGUGGCAAUUUGGUAAUUUGAGUAGGAUGAGUAUGCUAAGCGUACAUGAGGGUACACUGGGUGUACACUUAUGUACGUAGGGCGUACUCUUGUCAGGAGAAAACCAUGAUUUUUAGGGUUUGGGUGGUAUAUAAGCAUCAUUAUGGCUAAUUUCUCCCGACCUUUUCAGCCUCCAUACCCUUUGAGUCAUUUUUGGCAAACCCUAGCCCUUAGUGAGUGUGUUUUGAGAUCAAGAGUGUGUUUUUGGUGUGUUAAAUGAAGAAGGAGUUGCAUCUCAGAGCUUGGAAGCUUGAAGCAAGGCUUGGAUCUGGAAGUGUUGCCCUUUUCUCCAUCAUUUCAAGGUAUAUAGUUCAUACCUUGAUGGCUUGUUUUCUAUAUCUCUUUAUUGGGCAUUUUUAUGCUUCUUUUUGGUCUCAAAUGCUCCAUCUUGAGCAUGGCAUGUUUUAGAUGUUUUGAGUUGUCCUUUCAGACCCUUGGAGGGGUCCUUAGUCAUAAAAAUGAGGUCCCAAUGGCUAGAAGUGUCUCAUGCAUCUUAAGGAGUGUCUUAAUAAAUUAAGACCAUGUAUUAAGGACUUUUUGGAGACUUUAUGACUCUAGGGUGCAUUUGGACCAUAGAUUUGAACUUUGGGCUUAAGUGCUUAAGCCAUUAAGCACUUAAUGAAGUUGUGGGUUUUGCGAGGGUACUCCCCGUGUAGGUGGCAAUACGCCCCGCAUACUCGGUCUGCCACCCUAUAACUUGGUCAAUACGAGGCCUUGCGUAUGCUAAGCGUACUUCUGGGAACUCCCCAGCGUACUCGCAUGGAUCAUCCCAUGUUGAGUUAACUCGAUUAAGUGGAGCUGGCUGGGUUGACUCAGUAAGUUUAUUGAUUUUGACCAGUUAACUUUGAGUUUGACCAAGUUUGACUAUUGAAGGUAUUUUGGGUAUUUUUGGAUUUUUGAUGGAAUUAGUCACUAUGUGGAUGUAGGCAUUGAGUAGAGAGAUGAGAUUCGGAGUCGAGCCUUAUUAGUUCUAUCCAGCUUGUGAGGUGAGUUUUCCUCACUGUACGUUCGGGUCGAGGGCACCAAGGCAGGCCCAUUGGUUUGAUAACCUGAUAUUUGUUGAUAUGAUGAGUAUGGAAUAGAUAUGCAUGCUAGAUUUGAUAUGCUAGUCUGGUAGAUCUGUAGGACUACAUCUGAUACUUUUUGUUUAUUUGUAUAUGAUAUUAUCUAUUAUAUGUCGACACAUUAUGUGGGUUGGGUUGAGGUCAUACUGCUCCAUGUUGUAGCCAACAAACCCUGGAGCAAACCAAAAAUGAGCUAAGGGUCGGGGAGGACAUGGCAGACUCAUAUUGAGGGCUGAUGAGCAUUCCAAAUACGAGUUGAAGGUUGGGAAAGGCAUGUCAAAAACUUACUGAUGGCUUAGUGGUAUUCGGUCCGAGGACUGAUCAAGCCCGGGAGCAAUCGAAACAUAAGUUGUGGGCCCAGAGGGCAAGGCAGACUUAUGAUGUAGGCUCAAGGAGCAAGCCAGACAUAAGUUGUGGGCCGAGGGCAAUCCAGACUUAUGUUGUGGGCUCAGGGGUAAUGCAGUCUGUUAGCUAUGGACCCAUUGCAUGCUGUUAUUAUAUAUGUGCUAUUUGUUUGUGUGUUGGUAUUUUAUGGGAACUCACUAAGCUUUGGGCUUACAGUUUUGGAUUAUAUUUCAGGUACCUUAGAGGAUCGUGGGAAGGCGAAGGCGUGAUCGUGCACCUCCUCAUGUUUUGUUUUAUGAUUUUGGUUAUACUCUGGUAUUGAACAUGUUUUCAAAACUAUUUGUAAACAAUGAUGAUUUUUGGGUUGUUUUAAAAGUUUAAAUUUUUCAUGAAUUUUAUGGAUGUUACAGUCCACACGUUGAAGGUCUUACAUUGAUGACAUACUAAUCAGGUGAUAUGCUGAAGACUAAUACACUGGUGGUUAUACACUAUCUGUUGAAGCUGAAGUUGCUCUAGAUAAAGCUGAAGUAGAUCAACGGAUGUCUUCAUGAUGCUGACGUUGAUGCUCUAAUCAACAUAUGAUAUGCUGGUGCUGAUAUUCGAAUCGGGAGCAUAUCAAAAUAACUUGGUAAAGACGUAUUUUGAAGAUCUUAUUUGAUAUGUUCCUUAAAUACCAUAUCUCCUAUUAUCUUAGAAGAUUCAAUCCCAUCAAAUCAAUGAUUUAAAUUAAUUAGAAGAUUUAGAGAAUCUACAGAAGUUUUAUCUCUUAGGUUUAGACUAGUAUUUAUACUAUCCUCUCUCAUUCGUUGAGAGAUGAUGAUUUUUAUUAUAUUCUGGGUGAGAGAGUUUCUAUAGAAGAGAUCUGAGAGUUCUUGGUGAGUUCUUAGAUUGUACUCGUUCUCUUUGUGAGAACCUUCGUUCACUUGGUGAGAACAUUUUUCUUAGUGAAAAACUCGAUAAAUAAAAUUGGUUUUUAUUUAUUAAAUACUUGUGUUAUUAUUCCGUGUUUCUAUUAGAUUAAUGCACAAGUGUCAGGGUUUGGGACCUAACAAACGGUAUCAAAGCGGGCUAGAACAUCCGUUCUAGGAUCUGUUGUACAUCCGUUCUAGGAUCUGUUGUAGAUUCAGAAGUUCAAUCACUAUUGCAGAAACUCAAAAAGAAGAAGAAGAAGAAGAAGAAGAAGAAGAAGAAGAAAUUAUACAAUCAUCCAAAUAUUAAUAAUACUACAGAAUCAGAGAAGAGAUAGUACGGUGUGUUUUAUUAUCUUUGGUACUAUCUAACUGUUUCAAGUAUAUAUGGUCCUUAUAAUGUCUCUUAGAUGAGAGAGAUAUAUUUUUAAGACGAAGGAUCAACAAAGAUACAAAAGUUUUUGAUGAAGAAGAAAACAAAAAUAGUUCAAAAAAUAACAAGGCAUCCGAUUCAUGUCCUUUAUCAUGUUUUCCUAAUUUAAUGUAUGAUCCAAACGCUUCCCUAUUUGUGUUCUUUGUGGCUGAAUUUGAUCUUAAAGACAAAGUCAUUAAUCAGAAACAAGAAGAUAUUGAGGUGUUGAAGAAGAAGGUGAUAUCAAAUCUGAAGGACAAGAUUAAAUAAAAAGAUGUGAAGGACAAGAGCUUUUCAUCUAUAAGUGUUCAAACAGAAGAAGUACCUGAAGAAUGUUCAUCAUCAAGAAACCUUAGUUUUCUCCCUGAUGAACAUCACAACUGCUCUUGCACUAACAUGCCUCUGACUGGAAUGACUUCAGUUCAAACUGUAGAGAAAGCUCGCACUGUCAAGUCUUCACACAUUGAUCAGUCAGUUUCUACUGAAAAGGUUGUUCACACUGAGAAGUUGAGUCUCACAUCCAAGUUUGUUCACACUAGAAACACUUUUGACACUGUCAUGCUAUCUCAAGCUUUGAAAACUUCAUCUCACACUACCAAGACUCUAGCUCCAUCCCUAACUUCAAAAACCAGAAGAUCUCAUGCUGGUAAGUUCUCUGAUGAAUGUUUUUGUUUACAUAAUUCUUUUUACUGGGAAAAACACAAAAGGAAAAGGAACUCGAGUCACACAAAGCCAAAUAAGACUUGGGUUCCAAAGAAGUCAUCUCUAAAACUCACAAAGAUGAACAAGUUUGGGUUCCCAAGAGUACAUCUCCUAAACCUGAAAUAAAGACAGUCAAUGGAAUCAGAAAAAAAAAUGGAACCAAAAGUCUCCAAGAAAGAAGACGAGGGUUCUGAAACCUCAAGUUGUUUGUUCUACAUCUGAUCAAAAAAAUUUACAAGUAAAGUAUGCACUAAAACUCAUUCUCAAAUGGGUUCCUAAUUCUCUAAAUCUAAUGAAAUGAGAGACUCCAAAUUUUCAAAGUUCAUAUUUUGAUGUCUCUCUCUUUAAGAAAAAAGCAUGAAAAAGGUGUAUCUAUUUUUUUUUUUACUUCUGAUGUUAAUGGAUUUUUGGAGGAUAUCUUGUGAAGUCUUCGUCAAGAAGAAGAAUUUGCUGUUGUCAAAUUGCUUUAAAAUCAAGCCAGUAUGUUGGCCUUGACAGGGGUAUUAAUGACUUUUCACAGGAAAUAAGACAACAGGGGACAAGAUAUUGAGUCUCACAGUGGGUAAAAUAUAAAGAAAAUGGGACAAGAAAGCAAUGCACAGGGGCAGAAAAGGUUGCACUUUACUUAUUCAUCAACUGGGAAAAGAAAAGAGGGAUACAAUCACCUCGUACACUGCAUACUAUUUAAAUAAAAUUUUGCAUAAAAAUAGCAACUGAUUCUAGCAUAAAACCAGGGACACUAAGCCACAUGGCCUUAACUUAUUCACUUCUACUAACAGCUAAAAAAACAAAAUAAAAACGUGCAUAUAGACCAAAUCAAAUCUGAACUAUUUUAUCAUUUUUCCCCCUUAGUUCAGAGUUUGUAACCUGCUUUACUCCAAUUAGAUUUCGCAUCUCCUCAUGUUUCACUUUUGCCAUUGGUUUUGUAAGAAUAUCUGCCUUCUGCCUUUUGCUGCAAACAUGAGCUACUGUUAUCUUUCCAUCUUCCACACAUUCUCUUAUAAAAUGAAACCUUAUAUCAAUAUGCUUGUUUCGACCAUGAAAUACAGGAUUCCUCGUGAGAUCAAGAGCUGACUGGUUAUCAACAUAUAGAGUUGUAGGUGGUAUGUUUUGGCCAGAGAUUUCAGCAAGAAGACGAUGUAACCAAAUUCCUUGACAAGCUGCCAUAGUUGCUGCCAUAAAUUCUGCCUCACAUGAAGACAAAGCUACACAUCGUUGUUUCUGAGAUGUCCAUGACACCAAGUUGUCAUUCAAGUAGAAAGCCAUCCCACCUGUGCUUCUCCUGUCAACUUCAUCAUUUCCCAUGUCACUAUCUGAAUACCCAGUGACAGUGAUUUUUCUAUCUCCUUUUGUGUAGACUAAACCAUAGUCCAGAGUGCCCUUUAUGUAUCUUAGGAUGCCUUUUACAGCUUGAAGAUGUUUCAAGGUUGGUUUUUCCAUGAAACGGCUGACAACUCCAACUGCAAAAGUUAUAUCAGGAUGGGUGUGAGUUAAAUACCUGAGUCCUCCAGCUAUGCUCCUAUAUUCUGUGGGAUUUACAAGUUCUCCUCCUUCAUCUUUGGUCAACUUCAACUUAUGCUCCAUUGGACUUUUAGUGGGGUUGCAUUCUAACAUUCGGGUCUUAGCAAGGAUAGUUUUGGCAUAUGCUUCUUGCUUCAAGGUUAUUCCAGCUUCACUUUGAUUUACUUUAAUCCCCAGAUAGUAAGUGAGCAAACCAAGAUCACUCAUCUCAAACUUGUUACUCAUUUCCAAUUUGAAGUUCUGUACAUCAUCAUGGCAGCUUCCUGUAACCAGUAGAUCAUCAACAUAUACCCCUAUAAUCAAUGUGUUUCCUUGCUUUUUUCUGGUGUACACAGAGUACUCUUGGCGACACCUGGUGAAUCCCAAGCUUUUCAGAUACUUAUCCAAACAGGCAUUCCAAGCUCUGGGAGCUUGUUUCAACCCGUAAAGGGCUUUUGACAAUUUGUACACUUUGUCAAUUUCACCUCUCUUCUCAAAACCUUCAGGCUAUUUUACAUAAACUUCUUCUUCUAGGUUUCCAUUCAGAAAAGCUGCUUUCACAUCAAGAUGGUGCACACGCCAAUUGCUAGAACCUGCGAGAGCUAGAAUGACACAUACCGUUUCUAUUCUCGCCACUGGUGCAAAAACUUCGUCAUAGUCUAUCCCGUGCUUUUGAACGUAACCUUUUGCCACGAUUCUUGCUUUAUGCUUUAAAAUCUUCCCGCAUGGAUCUCAUUUUAACUUGAACUCCCACUUCAAGCCAAUUGCCCUUCGUCCCUUGGGGAGGUCAACCAGGGUCCAGGUUUUGUUUUUCUCGAUCGAGGCUAGUUCCAGAUUCAUAGCAUUGAUCCAUUCCUUGUGUUUUCGUGCUUCUGCAUACGUGGCUGGCUCUUCAUCUUCAUGAAUCAUCACCAAUUGCUCGGUAUUCUCAUACAAAUCUGUAAGUAGUCGAUAGCGCUUUGGAGCGCCUCCCCCUGUCGAACUUGAAGCAGUACUAACGGAGUCGUCUUGUGAUACUGGUGAUAUUGGCGUAACAGGGGUAAUUGGGGAAUUAGGUGUCGACGUUGGGCUUGAGUGCAUACCAGGUGGGCUAAUUUGGGAGUCCAAGUGUGAGUCAAUGGGCUGUGAUUCAUCUUCAGUCCAGUCCACAUUAACUUGGGGUAUUUCUUGACCGACUUCACUUUCAUUGACCUGGUCAAAAUUGAAUCCUUCCACAGUAAAGCUGAUCCCUGGUGUCGGCUUUAUCUUCUUUGUUGUUUCCCAUCUCCAUUUUUUCUUUUCUUCAAAUACGACAUCCCUGCUCACAAACAUCGUACCUGUUUCGGGAUCUAAUAACGGAUAAGCCUUUGAACCUUUUUCAAUUCCGAGAUACACAACCCUUUUGCUUCUUUCGUCUAAUUUCUUCAAAUGGUUCUUGGUUAUUUGCAUGUGUGCGACACAUUCGAACACCCUGAGAUGUCCAAUUUGAGGUUUUCUUCCAGUCCACAUCUCAUAUGGUGUUGACUCCUUCAAGGCUUUGGUGUUGACCCUGUUCAAAACGUACACAGCGUGGUUCACAGCUUCACCCCAUAGUACAUCAGGCACGUUCAUAGACAUCAAGCAACUUCUCACCAUCUCUAAAACAGUCCGAUUUCGUCUCUCCACAACCCCAUUCUGUUGUGGGGAGUAUGGAGAUGUGUAAUGACGUGUCAGGCCCGUUUCACUACAGUAUGAGGUGAAUUCGUUUGAAAGAAAUUCACCUCCUCGAUCCAUUCUUAGAACUUUGACCCUCUCCCCUGUUUCAAUCUCUACCCUUGCUCUAAAAUUCUUGAAAACUUGGAAAGCUUCAUCUUUUGUUUUCAUGAGAUACACCCACAUCACUCUACUGUAAUUAUCAACAAGCAACAUGAAAUACCUAUUUCCAGCGGGUGUAGGAGGUGAGACCGGUCCACACAAGUCACCAUGUACCAACUCUAGUCUUUUCUUUGCCCUGUAACUUGUGCAUGAUGGGUAUGGAGUUCUUGUUUGUUUUCCCAUCAAACACCCUUCACAUGGUUGUGUUGGUAUGGCUAUCUUUGGCAAUCCUUCAACUAGUUCUUUGUCUGACAUCAACUUUAGUGAGGAGAAAUUCACGUGCCCCAUUCUUGCAUGCCAUAGUCUUGUUGAAUCAUUAGUUUCAGUCAGCAAGCAUGUUUGUCUCACUUCUUCUAGUUCGAUCUUGUAGCGUCUAUUUGGGGACCUCUGGACCUUCAUUAACAGCCUUCCUGCAGCAUCAUGUACCCAUAAAAAUGGGUCUUUUAUUCUGAUCUCAUCACCACCUUCUGCUAGUUGUCCCAGACUUAUUAUAUUGCUACAUAAGUCUGGGAUAUAAUAGACUUCUUCAAGUUUACGAUGCUCACCAUUUUUGCAUUGAAAGACAAUCUUGCCCUUGCCUUCAAUCCUGACUCUAGACUCAUUCCCAAACUUCACAUAGCCUUGAAUAUUUUUAUCCAACUCUUUAAAUUUGCACUUGUCCCCAGUCAUGUGGUUGCUGGCCCUAUGUCCAGAUACCACAUAUUUGAUUGCUUCACUGUAUACCCUUUUGUCUUCAAUGGUGGGUUUAUAUUUUCUUCAUUCAGGAAGACUUCACCUAUCUCUUCACUCCCAUCAAAAGAUGAUAGAAGUAGAGCAGGUUCAUUGUCAACAUAGUCUUGAAUUAAGUUGUUCACUUGAUUUCUCUCAUGUCUUGGAUUUUUACACUCAGCAGCGUAGUGGCCAAAUUCUUGACAAUUGUAGCACUGCACACCACUCUUGUCUUGAUUACUUGACUGGCCACGUUUGUCUUCCUUUUGAUGGUGUGAAUUGCCUUUUCCACGACCACCAUUGUUCCCACCUCUGCUACGGCCUCUUCCUCUUCCACGUGAGCCUCCAAAUCCACCACGAUUUCCUUUGUGAGUGACCUUGGAAUUUUCUUCUUUCUUCUUAUUUCUUUCUGACCAUUCUUGGUGGGUCAAAAGGAGAUUUCUUUCUUCACUAUCACUGUGUCCCUUCAUCCUUUCUUCAUGAGCUUUCAACCUUCCUAUGACUUCUUCAACUAUCAUCUCAUCUAAAUUGCCAAAUUGCUCUAGAGUUAAAGCAAUCCGAAGGAAUUUAGAUGGUACAGCUCUUAGUAGUUUCUUCACUACAUAAGAUUCUUCUAUUGCAUCCCCCAAGGCUCGCAUGGUACUCACCAGGUUGCUUAUCUUCACUGCAAACUCAUCUACAGCCUCUGAUUCCUUCAUAACUAAGGCUUCAAACUCAGCUUUUAAAGUCUGAAUCCUUGUUGUCUUCACUCUAUCUGCACCCAAGAACAUGGUCUUCAAGGCUUCCCAUGCUUCUUUGGUUGUUUUCUUCUCAGCCAAUGACAAUAGAUCUUCUGGUAUGCCUUGAUAGAUGGCUGCCAAAGCCAUCUUAUCUUUCUUCACCUCUACCACAGUGUUUGUUGUUCUUGGUUCCACUGCAUCCCAAACGCCUUGGGCCUGCAUGAAUACCUUCAUCUUGAUUGCCCAAGCAGCAUAAUUGGACCUUGACAGCAUUGGAUAAUGAAGUGUGACCUGACCAUCUUUCUCACCAUUACCAUUGCUUCCUGUCAUCUCUUCACGAGAUUGAUAUUUAGGCAUGCACCAGGUUUGCUCUGAUACCAAGUGUUGGCCUUGACAGGGGUAUUAAUGACUUUUCACAGGAAAUAAGACAACAGGGGACAAGAUAUUGAGUCUCACAGUGGGUAAAAGAUAAAGAAAAUGGGACAAGAAAGCAAUGCACAGGGGCAGAAAAGGCUGCACUUUACUUAUUCAUCAACUGGGAAAAGAAAAGAGGGAUACAAUCACCUCGUACACUGCAUACUAUUUAAAUAAAAUUUUGCAUAAAAAUAGCAACUGAUUCUAGCAUAAAACUAGGGACACUAAGCCACAUGGCCUUGACUUAUUCACUUCUACUAACAGCUAAAAAAACAAAAUAAAAACGUGCAUAUAGACCAAAUCAAAUCUGAACUAUUUUAUCACAGUAUUGCUUUCUUGGUUCUCCAAACAGAACUUAUGUUCUGUAAAAUUCAUUGUAUAGCAGAUCAAAAGGGACCAUCUCCCAAGCAAAAGUUAAAAAGGCAAGAGUAUGCAUGGUCAUGAGGUCAUGAGGUUAUUGUCGUUGAGUGAAGGUGGAGGGGUAUUUUAGUCUAGUUGUUUGUCAAAUAAAAAUAGGACAUGGCUGCAUUAUUUAUCCAAGGACAAUUCUAUCAAAGACCAACUCAAAAGAAGAUAAAGAAAAGGGCAUUAAGGGAAUUAUUGCCCGGUUGAUGUAAAAUGUUGCUCACGUAGGCCCUCCUUCUAACACCACUUCAGUCACACAUUUCCAACACCUAAUCUCAACCCUUAACGUGAAACUUCACAUUCCUGACUCAAGCCACCAGUGUCUCCAUUCAGCAGCCUUAAAUGUCACUUUUAGGAGGUUCUCACGUUAAUUGAUGAUCAUUCCUGAUAUGUCUUUAUGAUAGAAGUCUGUUUUCAAAAACAAAGAACAUCAGAAAAGCUUGUUGAUUCUGAAAAAGUGGGUUGAUUGAUGGGUGUUGACCUCCAACACGUCAGAAAUGGACGCAUGUGAUUGAUCUGAAAAAGUCAAAAGCAUACGCCAGUUGUGAAUGUGUUGGGUGAUGUGUUCCAUGGAUUCUUGCAUAUCAGCAAAUAUUCGUCUGGUCAUAAGUGUGAAUGCACAAAAUUCAUAUGAUGUAUGCCUUUUGGGACACAAAACAUAGGCUUAAGGAAUGGUUAUAUGGAGAUUUGAUUGACAAAAGCUGAUUGAGAUAUGUCACAUAUUUCUAUCAUAUCUAUAAGGUCCUGUUAACAAGUCUCACAUGUUAGGUUAUCAUUUCAGGAAAAGGACAAGGUAGAAAGAGUUGUCAAGCAUGAUUUGAUUGUUUAUAAAAGUCAAAUUGUGUCAUGUGUAAAAGUAUAAAAAGCAAAGGACUACAUGCUUGCUGCUUUCAUUACUUGUGAAUGUCCAAAUGAAUAAAAUGUUGCAUUGGCAUGGAUUUCCUUUUCAUGGGUGAUCUACAGCUAAAGAAAAAUACUUUGCAGGGGUAUAUCGGUCAAAUUUUGAACAAAGAAAAGUUGUAGGAAUGGGAUGUCAAUAUGAAAAGGAUGUUUCACUUUGUCAUCAUUUUCCUCAUCAGUUUUGACUUUUCAUUAUAUCUAAAAAGUUUUUAUUAUAAUUAAUGUUGAGUGUUGUUGGUAUAAAGGGAACAGUGACAACAUCUCAGAGCUAAUCAGAUUGGUCCAAGUGUGUACUGAUGAAAAGAUAAAGAAGCAUCUUCCACAAGAUUUUUUUGGGUAUCGAGAUUGGGCUGAAAGAGAAAUUAAGAGGGGAUAAACGAAUAGAUUCUUAUGUCACAUAUUAUAAAGCUGCAAUAUUUGGCUCUACUCUUGACUCUUAAGAAGACAUUGUAUGAUAGCUGCCAUGUUCACGACUAUCCUCAAGGAAUUAAAGUCUUGUCAAGGGUGUGAUGGUCCAAUUGAAAAGAAAAAUAUUGCCCAAAUUUGUUUUUGUUCAAAGUGAAGUACAACUAAGGGAGAAAGAAUGAAUUUAAGGAUAAUUGUCAUUAAUGUGUGAUGUUAUCACGUGGAGUUAUGUGCAGAACAAAAUGGUUGGGUUACUGAUGGUCAAAUGCUACAGGUCCAAAUUUGCUUUUAUGAUUCUUUUAAAAAAAAUCAUUUUUCAAAGGUUUUAAAUUUGUUUUCUUUUAAGUUAUAUAUAUAUAUAUAUAUAUAUGUAAAGUNNNNNNNNNNNNNNNNNNNNNNNNNNNNNNNNNNNGUUUUUAGUUAAAUAAAAAAAAGUUUUUUCUUGUUAUUUUUUAAAGAUAAAAAAAAUGUUAUGCAGCUCUUCUUAGUAAAGUUUUUCAAGUGUAUCCGCUUGAUUGAUGUCACACCCCGAAAACUGAAGGCGGAAACAUUUCCGGGGCGGACUCCUCGUUGAGUAUCAAAUCCAAUGUACAUAGUAAGCAAGUAAACAACCAUUACAUUACAUAUUAGAAUUUACAUCUGUUUAAAAGUAAAGUGUUACAAGUGAUGAUACAUAUGUAUAUAAAUAUAUAGACAAAAGUAGAGACGAGUCUUCUGUACGCUCCGUCUUCUCCAAAAAGGAUCACUGGGUACCNCAAGCAGUUUGAAAAUCAGCAUAAAGCUGGUGAGUUCAUAAGCGGUUUUGUUUUGAAAAGAAUGAGUUCCUUUAUUUUCUGAAAAAGUUGUUAUCCAAGAAAAUCUCAUAUUUUCUUAUGUAAAACAGUUUAGUUAUCAUUUGUUUCCAAUUUGAUUACGUGUUGUAUGUUACUCCAGGAAAAUCCCAUAUUUUCCUAAUAGUUUAGUUAUCUAUUCGUUUCUUAAUUCGUUUACGAGUUGUUAUGUUAUCCCAGGAAAAUCCUAUAUUUUCCUAAAAGUAAGUUUAGUUAUUGGACACCAAAUGUAAUAUUUGAUUUUCAAUUAUAUUUGUCAUAUUAGCUAGGUAUUCUAAUAUCCUAAUUGUGUUACACUUGAAUGUACCUAGAUGCGUGCCUUCGUAUUCGUGUUCCUAUUCCUUUUCCUAAUUCUAAUCGUAUUCGUAUUUGUAUUCGUAUUUGCAUUAGUAUUCGUAUUCCUAGUCCUAUCCCUAAUCCUAUUCGUAUUCGUAUUCGUAUUCGCAUUCGUAUUCGUAUUCCUAUUCCUAUUCCUAUUCCUAAUCCUAAUCGUAUUCGUAUUCGUAUUCGCAUUCCUAUUAGUACCUUCGCGUUAUUACUUUAGUAUCCCUAUUCGUUCUAUUCCUAGUUAUACUUUCGUAUUCAUUUUGUUCCUAAUUGUACUUUCGUAUUCGUUCUGUUCCUAAUUGUAAUUUCGUAUUCGUUCUGUUCCUAAUUGGAUUUUCGUAUUCGUAUUCGUUCUAAUUUAUGAUUAGUAUGAAUUAUUCUUAGAUUAUGAAAUAUAAUUUAGAUUGUAACACUUUAGCAAGAUAUCCGUGAUUAGUCUGAAAGCUAACUUCGUAUUUCGAACUAUUUGAUUAACACAGAUUUCGAUAUUAAAAACAUACAGAAUAUAGAUAUUUGAACUGAAAAUGAUAAAUUUGAGUACAAGAUUUCCUUGUACUUUUGCUUGUAUUCCCCCCCCCCCCUGAAAAAAUUUGAAAAAAAUUUGAAANGAAAAACAUGUGAAAAAGGGUAGGGGUAUGAACUCACCGGUCGAGAAACGUGUCGGAUUGGAUGCUAAGUGUCGGUUUUGGGCUUAAUAACGCACGAGGUUCCUAUGUAAUAUGAAAUGAUAUACAAAUGUAUCUAAUUAGACCUUAAAUCACUAAUUAGAUAUGAUUAUACACUCCAAGACGCGAAAACACUUCAAAUCAAGUGUUUGGAGUGACCCGGGUGACAUAUAAGGUCGUAUAUGGUUGGGAUAAUGUGUUUACUCUUCGAGAGUAAACUCCUUAUGGAGUUUUCGGCCCUAAGACCAACUCCACAUGAGUUCACGGCCGUGAACUCAUGGGUGAGGGUUUUAUGGUGCUAAAUGGCCUUAUAUGACUUGGGAAAAUUGGCUAGGAUCAAUUCUAGGGCAUAGGAGUGGACUAGACUUACACAUGGACCAUUUAAUGGAGUUUACGGCAGUAAACUAGGAGUUUACGGUUGUAAACUCCCCCAUACCCAUUCCUUAUGUGUUUUGGUGGUGCUAGGACAAUCACAUGUGAUUUAAACUCAUUUUACAAGCCUUGGAUGGAAUUUUGGGCAUCAUUUGCUUAUGUUAUAGGAGUUUACGGCCCAGGAACCCAUACUUGGGGGGUUUACAGUCGUGAACUCCUAAGGGAGGGGUUUUCAUUGGGUUUAAGGCUUCUAAUUCGUUUAUGGUUGAUUCUAGAAUUUAUUCCAAGGCUAUUGGUGUGUUUAAAUGGCAUUUUAACACUUCAAAAUGAGUUUACUCCCCAUGAUAUGGAGUUUAUGACCCAAGCAUGUUCUUGGGCAGUAAACUCGUGUUUACUCUCCAAAAAUUAAGUUCAAGGUGUUCUAAGUCCAUUUUGGUAAGCCCCUAAGUCAUAUCUAAGCUCCAAAGGUCGAUUGGAAGGGUUUUGGGGCUCCAAAACCCAUUUUAUGUGAGUUCACGGCCUAGGACUGUUCUAGGGCCGUAAAAUCAUGAAUAUGGUCUUAUUCCAUGAUUUGAACUCGAAUUUGAAGGUCUAAGAUGCUAUACUAGGAGUUAGGGUAGUUACCUUGGUGAUUUGGAGCUUAAAUUUGAUGUUUUUGGACCUUAAUCUUGAGUUUGAGGAGAGAGGUUAGAGAGAGAGUAGGGAGAGAGAGAGAGAGAGGGACGUCUUCAAAUGAAUUCUUUUGAGCUUUAAAUAGGUCCUAAGUUCGGGACACCGUGGAAUUAUACCCGAUACCGACGUUAAACGGGGCUUUUGGUCGCACCCGAUUAAGUCGUCGUAACCCGCCGGGACAAAUAUUUAAAAUCUAUCUAUUUAUCAUAUUGGGGUGUUUUCUUGAGUUUCUAAUGGGUUUGGAUACUAAUUAAGUCAUAAUAGAAGUCUCGGAAUAAAUGACUUAAUUUUAAAAAUAUGCAAACGGAUAUGAUUUGAAAAAGACGAAUUUAUAGGCGGAAACGGGUUUUGGCGAUGGAACGAACUUCGGGUUGUCACAAUUGAAGUCAGGGUCGGCCUUAUGUAGUGAUAAACAAAGAUAGGGCUUAGGGCCCCCACUUUUAAGGGGCCCCACUUAAACUCAAUUUCCGAUUACCAGGUCCAUAUUUCAUUUGGCCGUUCCCAAAAAAAUCCAAUGCCUUGCACGCCUUUUCUGGAACCGUUGAACGCUUAACGCCUCAAAAGAGUUUCUAUUUUUCUUAUUGUAGAAGCGACGAUUACUGCUCUUCUUCUUCCUUCUCCAUUCUCGGCUUGAACACUCUUGAAUAGUCUGAAGUCGGAACCGUUGAAAUACAUUACAUUCUAUUCUUCUUCUUCCUUCUCCUUUUUCGGCUUCUUCAUUCUCCAUUGAAGGCUAUCACAUACUCACGGUAUCACUGAAACGGUAAUAUAUUUGCAAUUUUUUUCACUUUUCAUUUUUUAUUUUUCCAUUAUCUGCCAUGUUGUCAUUUGAUUAUUUAAUUAUGGUUAAUACUUAAAGCUGAUUAGGGUUAUUGGCUUUGGUUUGUGGAAUUGGAAUGGAAUCAGAAUUUGUUUUUUUUUUCGAUCAAAAUCAUGUUUGUUUUAAAAAUCCCGAUUGAAGGUAGAUUGGUAGUGGCCAUGUUCAAUCAAAAUCGUUUCUAACUUGUCUGACUAUACAACAUCUAUUGUUCUUUAGCAGAUUCAAACGGGAAUGAAUCUUUCUUAAUAUGAUUUUUUAUUCCAUGGGUUAAUACUUUUCGGUUCUUAUUUUUUCAUUUAUCUAUUUUUUUAUCCAUUGUUCAUUGAUUACAAAGACUACAGUAUAUACAAUCAGUGAAUCAUGUUGGAUUGUUGGAAUGAAUUUUAGUUUUCAGUUUUCCAUAUAUGACAAGGGGCCCCAAAUUUUUGUUUUGAUUAGAACCCCCAAACCUGUUGAGACGGCCCUGAUUGAAGUAUAAGGGAAGAAUGCACUAAAAUAACAAAAUGGAGUCAAACAUUUAACUCCGGGGUAAAAAUUUUAAUGUUGUUUCUAGUUUUCAAAUUAUCUAUGAACAUCAGGACUUAUUUACCACCUAAAGUUCUAACAGUAAUAUCUUUCUUGUAUCUACAUGUUCUUUGGUUUAUUUGCAGUCGAAUAAAAGAUAGCAUAGAUGUUAGAUCAUGUGAUGGUUCUUUUUCUUAGAAAAGAUGUUUUCAAUUAUGGUCUUUGUGACGAUCUACCUAAUGUAUCAAUAAACAUUUGGUUCAAGAUUCGCAAAUUUAUUGCACCACUUUAAAACUAUUUGACAGUGAACUAUGUGUUCUAAGAUAUGUCAUGUUAUAUGAGCAUACACUAUGUUGUUAAAGUGUCUGAAGAUGUUGGAAGAAAUAAAGCACAAGUUUAAGGGGAGUACUUAAUAUUGACAAAGGAAAAUGGGCUGAAAAAUUGACUAGCAUGUUAUAAUGUUAUUGGAAGUUGGUUGAUUUAUGGAGUUGGCUCUUACAUAAUCUCCAUCAUGAAUGGUCAUUCAUUCUAAAAUCAGUGUACCUUUCAUGAUUUGACAAUCCAUUGUCCCUAGAAGCAUGUUGUUGUAUUUGAAUAAAUCUCUCUAAGUAUCUCAUCAGCAAGACCGUCUACUAUGAUGUGAAUCACCCACUCACAUUGAUUGUUAUGUAUUGACAUACCCUUCAACAUGAUGGUGGAAUUUAUUUUUUUUGGAAAGGUAACUUCCCUAACGAGGGUUUCCGGGCCAGCUACACCACUUUUGAGAAUCCAUUGUCCCUAGAAGCAUGUUGUUGUAUAUGAAUAAAUCUCUCUAAGUAUCUCAUCAGCAAGAUCAUCUGCUAAGAUGACAUUGAGUCACCCACUCACACCGAUUGUUAUGAAUUGACAUACCCUUCAACAUGAGAUUGCCUGGUCUAAAUCAGAAAAUUAUUGAAAGGCUUGGGUGUUUAUUUUCUUGGUUAAUCGCUUCUUACUUGACUCUGUCCUUGGAAGCAUUCUCACCAUAUGUACAAGUUUAGUGUUCUACUGAAUCACUAAGCAAUUACCCAAUGGAUUAUCCUGAUUGCAUUGUCAUCAGCAUAAGAGUUACUAGUCAGGUCUUUAAAUGACAAAGGUUUGUUCAUGUCCUUGACCUCCUAAACUGAGGUGGGACAUGGUACCAUUACGAAUUGACGAUGGAUAAGUUCCAAGAUUUUAACUACUCCUCCCUACUAGUCUUCUAAUGUAGAACAUAAUAAUUCACUGUAUGAUACCAUACACUGAAAAAAGUUUGAAACUCUAUGUCGAUGGUUAGAUUAUGUACUGUAGUUUAUUACACGCACCAACCCAUUAUUGCCAUGUUUUUCUUCUUAAAAUUUUCAUGAUUUAUCAUAAGAUACUAUACACUGAUGAGAACUUGAAAAUUUGUGUCAAUGUGUAUAUCAUGUAUAGUGGUAUAUUAGACGCACAUACCCACUCUUACCCUACAAAACUUCUAACAAUGAUAUUGAUGAUUCACUGUAUUAGCCAUACACUGAUAAAACUUUGACUCUAUAUGUUGAUGGAUACAUUUCAUAACGGAAUCUAUUACGCGCACCAUUCCACUCUCACCCUUUUUUCUUCUAACUAAAGUAGUUAAUGAUUCGGCAUAUAAAACCAUCCACUGAUGAAACUUCGCAAGACUAUGUAAAUGAUCUAUUAUUGCAACAACACAACAGUGUAAUACACCAAAUCCUCUCCUAUCAUUUAACUUUAUUUGAUGUUUAUUUCAUUUUUGGUUACUUGUUGUCUUCAUAAAAAUAAAAAUAAAAAUAAAAACAAAACAAAAAAAGAGAAAUAAAGGGCAGUGAUUAUUGAUGUUUUCAAAAAGAGGGAAAUUGUUAUUAGUUCCGCUAUAAUGUCAAUUAAUCAUUUAUUGAAUAGCAGACCCUCUUGAAAGAAGAAUGUUAUAAGGGGAGAAAACCUCAGAUGUUAUUUAUCUGAGGAGGAGCAAAUUCUAAAGCAGAGGAGAAAUCAGCAUAUAACUUCAGUUAUGUUUAUUCAUUAUUUCAUUCUUUAUUAGUUUGGUUUUGCCAUCAUCAAAUAGGGGAGAUUGUUGGGACACAUAUAUGUAUAGAUUUGAUGAUGAAAAAGAUAUAAAUUAUAGUUAUAGUUUAUCUACUCAUUAUAUAUACUAAAUUUUGGCUAAGCUAGUGUAAAUAAUACAACUUACACAAGCUGAUCUGUCAGAUUUUGUUUAGUUAGUUAAUCUGAGGAUAUGUUGAUGGAAAUUCAUAUGUCGACGACUGAAGACCAGAUCUGAGCAGCCUUAGCUAACCAGAUCUUGAACUAAUCUCUAAAGUCUUGUUAUUGUUGAAGACCGUCCCCUGAUACUAAAAGACACUAUCAGCACCAAAGACACAAAGACACCAUUCACUGAAGACUGGUCAGUGUCCAUACUCUGAAGGCCUUACACUAAUGACACACUGAUCAGGUGAUACGCUGAAGACUGAUACACUGAUGGUUAUACACUAUCUGUUGAAGCUAAAGUUGCUCUAACUGAAGCUGAAGUUGUUGGGUCAAAAUUAUAAUUUAUACUUUGCUUUUCUAGGAAAAUGUAUUUUUAUGUCUAGGACCGUAAACAGCUAAGUGUUUACGGUUAUAACCGUGUUUACGGUCUGUUGUGACCGUAAACCUGUUUACGGUCUGCCUGACCGUAAUCAGGUUUACGGUCCGUCUUCCUAUAUAUAUAUAUAUAUAUAUAUAUAUAUGGUGAGGGGUGUGAGGAACAAGGGACAUAGUAGAGAGAGAAGGAGCUUAAGUGUGUGUAUUCCAAGGUGUUUUAGAGAGAGAAACAAGAUAGAAGAGCUAGUGUGUGAACUAUGUGUAUGGAGCAUCAUUCUAUUCAUUGAAUACAUCAUAUAUUCAAGUUAUUCUUCUUCUCCUUCUCUUCUAUUUGAUCUGACAUCAUCCAAUUGAUUGGGAUUCCGCACCAUCAAUUGGAUCUGAUUGAUACACAAGCAGAUUUGGGGACUUACAGAAGCUGAUCAGCGGAUGUCGACGUUGACGUUGAUGCUUAUGUUGGAACUUGUAACACUUGGUCCAGGUAUGAAUUAAUUCUAAUUAUUUUUAAAUAUUGGAAGGAGCUCGACGAGUAGAAAGCUUUCCAGCCAUGUAGAUUGAAGGACCUACUUAACGAGUUGGGGAUCCCCAGCUCGACGAGUUAACGCUGGAAAUGAAAACCCUAAUUUUCGGGCAUUACACCCUAUAUAAAGAACAUUAACUCCUAGGGUUAGCCUCCUUACCAGCCCUCUUGCCCAGAGAAAAUCCUAGAAUCGGUUUCCUUCUUGUUCAUUGAGUUUUGUGGGUGUUUGAGUGAUUGUUUGAGAUCUUUGAAGGAGGUUUUGAAGAGAGAAGUAUCAAGCUUGGAGGAGUGAACUUUGAUCCAGAAACUCUACAUCAAAGGCUGCAUCUUGGAGGUAUAAAGUCACAACCUUGGUUUUGGGACUUUGGCUUGGAUGUCCAAAGAAAAGAGGGUUCCAGAGGUUGAGAAUGUAGAUUUGGCCUCUAUAAGACCUCUACAGGAUUAAAGUUGCAAACUUUAAUAGCCUCCAUGUCCCAUUCAAUUAAUAAGUCCACUAUGAAGCCUAAAAUAGACCUUGGAGAGUGUUUCAAUCAUGCAUGGACGUAAAGUUAGAAACUUUACGUGAUUUGUCCACAUUUGGACAUCAGAUCUGUGUUUUGGGUCGAUGGGAUGAGAGUUUAAGGGCUUAAUGAGUCAAGACCUUCCUUAAUGGAACUAGGGUUUAAGUUUAGAGCUUAUUGGAUGAUCCUUGGGGGUAAAGAUGGAAAUUUUUCCCUUCUAGACAUCUCUAGGGACGGGGAUAUGAAGUUUGGAACCUUUAGAUUCAAGAAAAAGGGCUUAAUGCAUUAAGUGGGUUGACACACUGAAGAACUCAACGAGUUCACAGGGGGAACUCGAUGAGUUGGGUUGGGGUUACCCCGAUUCUGUUGGAAAACGGAGAAACUUAGCAAGUUGGGUCGCGAUAUCGUGAUUCUGACUUUGGGGUGGACUCGACGAGUUGAAGGGGUGACUCGACUAGUUAGGUCAACUCAGAGCGUUGACUUUGACUUUGACUUUGACCUGGACCAGGAUUGACUUUUAAGGGUUUGAAGGAUUGAGUUGUAUCUAAGGAGUUGUUUAUGAUUAGGGAGGUGGCAGAGCUGAUACUCGGAGUUUGGACCUACUUAGCUAUAGUACGGAUUUGAGGUGUGUCUCCUCACCAUACCAAUAGAUCGAAGGCACCAUGGCCGACCCAUCCAGUUAGUUGUGAUGAUUAUUGUGAAAUCAUUAUGGAUAUGCCUAGUAUGUAUGUAUGUAAAUGCGUUAGUAUCAUAUUGGUUAGAUAUGUGAAGACCCCGGGGGAGCCCGUGGCAACUGGAUGUCAAACCAUGUAGGGGAGCACAUGGCAUUCCAGUUAAAGACCAUGUGGGGGAGCCUAUGGCACAUAGGUAUUAGACCCUGGGGGGAGCCCACGGCAUUCUAGAGUAAGACCAUGGAGGGAGUCCACAGCAUCCUUAUAUGUUUGUAUGCAUGGCUUAUGUAGUAUGUAUGCGGUUUAUAUGGUUAUGUGAUUAUGUGUUUUAUGUAGGGUAUGUUAUGGGGAACUCACUAAGCAUUAGCUUACAGUUUGUUGGUUGUUUCAGGUACUUUAGGAUCUAAGGGCAAGGGCCCGGCAUGAUGGCACGGCGUGCACUCUCCGACAUUUUAGUUGGGACACUCUAAUGUUUUGAAUAAUUUAUCUAAUGUCAUGGAUUUUUUAAAACAAAUGUGAUUGGAAUGCUAUGUUUUAUGAAAAUAAUUUCGUUACUAAAAAUGAAAAAUUUUAUUGGAAAUUUGGGUUGUUACAAGUCGGUAUCAGAGCCUUGGAUUGAGGGAUUCGAGCACACCCUCGGGUGUGUUAGAACUCAAACUGAGGAAGUGAUAAAAUUGUUUUUCAAAAAUCAAAGUUAAAACUCCUUAAAACCGAUUUCUUGUAAGAAAAAAGGAGAGUGCAACGCACGUAAUCGGCCGAGCUCAAGUAAGUGUUUCCCCCAAUACGUUAGCCAUGCUAUAUGUAUAUUUGGAAUGUGAUAAUCGUAUGGAUUUUGCUAUGUGUGUGCUUUAAAAAUUGUAUAUGUUUAGGAUCUUGUAGCCUUAGAAUAAUUGAAUUGGCCUUAUUUCAUAUUCCUUGUUUGGUUGUGGUCCUAGGGUUUGAGUUAUGCGGUAAUUUGUGAGAUAUGCUUGUUUUGGGAUGAAUUAGAGUUAUCAGGUAGAGCCUUGGGAAAGGUACAGGUAGGUGUGGAAGGUAGUAUUGGGCCCGUACUACUAGAAGCACAGGACCUGUACCCGAACCAAUGUUAGAUCUAGAAGCUCUAAGGAGACUGGUAUGGAAGGAUCCCCUUUUGAAUAUUUUGAUCAUUUUGUCUUAUGGUAUUUCAGUGCAGUAUAGCGGUGACAUGUCAUGGAGCAGGGGGAUCAGGAUCUAGAUCUGGGUCGGGCUACGAUAUUGAGCCUAUUGACGAGAUGUUGCGCAAGCUUAUCACAGCAGAGGUUACGAGGGGCAUCCUUGACGCUACCCCAGUAAUUUUUAGGACCGUCAAGGAGGGUAUGAUGGAGAUCAUGGAGGAGCGGCUUAGGUCUUUCCGAGCCGAGAUUGUUGUGGGCCAGGUCGGGGCCCAAACUCCCUCGUUCUCGGAGUUCAAGGCAUGCAGGGUGCCUGAGUUCUUUGGGGUCAGGGACCCCACAGUUAGUCGACGAUGGGUGGCAGACAUGGACAACGCCCAUUGCAUGAGCUCUUGCCCUAAGGCGGAAAAAGUGGGGUUUGCUUCAUGCAUGUUGAGGGACCGAGCCAGGGACUGGUAGGAGGAGGUGACCCACCAGGUGGGAUCAGCUGGAGUGGCUGAGAUGUCAUGGGUGGAGUUUGUCAGGUGUUUUGACUUGGAGUUUGCACCAUCCAUUGAGGUGCAACGUCUAGUGAGGGAAUUUCAGGAGCUACAGUAGACCACCGAGACCAUGGCGAAGAUCACCGCCAAGUUUCGGGAACGAGCACUAUUGAUCCUACAAUAUGUUGCGGAUGAGGAUAUGAGGAGGAUGAGGUAUCAUUCCAUGCUGAGGGAUGAUAUCCUUGAGUUUGUGAGCUUUUCAGGGUGCAACACCCUGAAUGAGAUGGUGGAGAAGGCCAGAGAACGGGAAAUUGAGUUAGAGCUCUGCACAAAGCGGAAGCCGGAGCAGGUUCAAGCGGCAAUAGGUCAGGCUAAAAAUCCUAAGACCUAUGAUUCUUCCAGUAGGGGCCAGCAGGGUCAUGGUCGGUACGCCAAGUGCGGUAGGCCGCACAAUGGGGUUUGUCGAGCGGCAGGAUCGAGAUGUUAUGUGUGUGGCUAGUCGGGCCACAUGAGCAGGGAUUGCCCCAAUAAGGGCUUGAUAUGUUUCCACUUCAACCAGACUGGACAUAAAAAGGCCGAUUGUCCGAGGUUGUAGGGAGGAGGAGGAGCAGUUUUGGCGCAUGCGCCCACCACAAUGAGGAUCACUGAUAGCCGCCAUGCCAAGGUGGAGGCUCCUACGGUGAAGAUCCGUGCAUUUCAGUUGACUAACGAGGUAGCCCGAGCGGUGCCUGACGUCGUGGCUAGUACGUAAUUUAUUUUCCUGUUGAUAUUAUUUGUUAUGCUUAUAUGUAUCUAUGUGCGCUUGUAUAGGGACCUUUUUGGUCAACGGUGUGUCGGAUCAUGUUCUUUUCGAUUCGAGAGCUACCCGAUCAUUCGUAUCUAUUGUGUGUAGCAAGAAGUUAUGGGAUGCUCCAGGGACUUUGUAUUCCCUAUUGGAGGUUGAGAUUGCGGAUGACCGCACCAUGAGUGUUGUGAGGGUAUAUCGAGAUGGUGUCCUAAAUAUGUUUAGGGAGAGGUUCCGUGUUGACUUGGUUCUAAUACCGUAGCGAGGGCUGAAGGUGAUCGUUGGGGUGGAAUGGUUGGGGGACAAUGGGGCCAUGAUAGACUGUAAGCACCAGCUGGUGAGAGUUUGAACCCCAAGUGGGGGGAGAACUGAUUAUUCAUGGGGAGAGGGUCUCGCAGGGGCCAACCCUCUGUUCAACUGUGAGGGCUAGGAGACUUCUCCAUCAGGGUUGUUUGGUAUUUUUGGCAUACAUCUCGGAUAUAAGGGUUGAGACCACGACAGAUUUGGACAGUGUACCGAUUGUACGGGAUUUUCGGGAUGUCUUUCUUGACGAGUUGUCUGGUGUGCCUCCGGAGAGGCAAGUAUAGUUUCACAUUGUUUUGGUAUCGGGUGCUGCUCCGAUAGCUAAGGCACUGUACCGGCUAGCUCCGCCCGAGAUGCAGGAGUUGUCUACGCAGCUUUAGGAGCUGCUAGACCAAGGGUUUAUUUGUCCGAGCAAUUCUCCAUGAGGAGCACCGAUCUUCAUUGUGAAGAAGAAGGACUGGUCACACAGGAUGUUCAUCGAUUAUCGGGAGCUGAAUAAGCUAAUGGUGAAGAACCGUUAUCCACUCCCGAGGAUCGAUGAUUUGUUUGAUCAGCUUCAGGGCGCAUCUUGGUUCUCCAAGAUUGAUCUUCGGUCGAGAUACCAUCAGAUGAUGAUUAGGGAUGAGACUAUACCGAAGACAGCUUCCAGGACUCUGUACGGUCACUAUGAGUUUGUGGUGAUGCCAUUCGGGCUCACCAAUUCCCCAGCAGCGUUCAUGGACCUCAUGAACAAGGUGUGUAGGACGAUGUUGGAUCGGUCUGUGAUCAUCUUUAUCAAUGAUAUCUUGGUCUAUUCUAAGACCAAGGAGCAGCACGAGCAGCAUUUGAGGGACGUAUUAGAGACACUGAGGGCGGAAAAGCUUUAUGCCAAGUUCUUGAAGUGUGAUUUCUGGUUGCAUGAGGUGCAGUUUUUGGGGCACAUCAUCAACCAAGAGGGUAUUUUGGUUGAUCCAGCCAAGAUUGGGGCAGUUAUGCGAUGGGAAAUACCAAAGAAUGCAUCUAAGAUCUAUAGCUUCUUGGGCCUAGCGGGGUAUUACCGGAGAUUUAUUCAGGAUUUCUCCAAGAUUACGGUACCUUUGACUCGCUUGACCAAGAAGAGUGUGACAUUUCAGUGGGGACCGGAUCAGUAGUCGGCCUUCGGGACUUUGAGACAGAGACUAUGUGAGGCCCCGAUUUUAGCACUAUCCUAGGGGUUGGAUGAUUUGGUGGGGUAUUGUGAUGCAUCUGUCACAGGUUUAGGGGAUAUUUCGAUGCAUAGGGGGCAUGUGAUCACGUACACCUCGAGGCAGCUAAAGCCUCAUGAGGCGAACUACCCCAGUCACAACCUAGGAUUUUGAGAGGUGGUGUUUGCCCUCAAAAUCUGGAGGCAUUACUUGUAUGGAGUCUAAUGCACUAUUUUUACUAAAGACAAAAGUUUGAAGUAUUUAAUGGAUUAUCAGAACCUCAACAUGCAACAGGGGAGGUGGUUGGAUGUACUGAAAGAUUAUGACUGCGAGAUUUUAUACCAUCUAGGGAAGGCUAACGUGGUGGUUGUUGCCUUGAGCCGCAAGGCGGAGAGUGCUCGAUUGGAGAUGGCUGUUUGAGGAUGACGGUGAUUUCCCCCUUGCUAGAUGUGAUCAAGGAGGCCCAGGUGGAGGUUUUAAAGAAAGAGAACUGGAAGAUAGAGCAAAUUUGGGGUCAGAUUCCCUUGUUUGUUCAGGAUGGUCGGGGUCUAUUGACACAGUGAGGCCGGGUGUAGGUACCGGUAUCUGGAGGUUUGAGGCAAAAGAUCUUGGACGAGGCACACAAAUCCAUGUUCUCUAUUCAUCCGGGGGCUACAAAGAUGUAUAGGAAUAUGAGGUUGAGUUACUGGUGGCCCUGCAUGAAGCGGGAGAUCGCAUGGUUCGUGGGGCGGUGCUUGAUCUGUAGGAAGGUUAAGGCCGAACAUCUGAGGCCUCACGGCAAGUUUCAGCCGCUACCCAUUCCCAUGAGGAAAUGGGAAUAGAUAACCAUGGACUUCAUUACGAAGUUAUAUACCGAGGACGGCGAGGGGUGUGGAUUACAUUUGGGUCAUUAUAGACAGGUUGACGAAGAGUGCCCCUUUUAUUCCGAUCUCCGACAGUAUCUUUGCUUAGAAAUUAGCAGAUAUCUAUGUGCGAGAGGUGGUGGUCAGGCACGGAGUGCUAGUAUCCGUGCUCUCGGACCGUGAUGUCCGAUUUACCUCUAGGUUUUGGAGGAAGUUCAAUGAAGAAUUGGACACUCAGUUACAUUUCAGCACCGCUUACCACCCUCAGAUCGAUGAUCAGAGCGAGCGGACGAUUCAGACGCUUGGGAUAUGCUUCGAGCUUGCGUAUUUGAUUUCGAAGGGAGUUGGGAUACAUACCUCCCACUAGCAGAGUUUUCAUAUAACAAUAGUUAUCAUGUUAGUAUUAACCGACCCCCAUUUAAGAUGUUGUAUGGACAGAGGUGCAGGACUCUCGUAUGUUGGGGUGAGGUAGGGAACCGAGUCAUGGGAAGCACCGAGGUGCUGCUCAAGACUACCGAGUUGAUCCAGCAGGUGCGCGACAGGUUGCGAGUCGCACAAAGCCAUCAGAAAAGUUAUGAUGAUCGGCGUCGCUCAAAUCUCGACUUUCAGGUGGUAGACUUCAUGUUGUUGAAAGUGUCACCAUGGAAGGGUUGAUGGGUUUUAAGCACUAUAACAUCCAUAUGGUGCAUAUACAACCCUAAUGCUUUGGAUCUAAGUUUUCUAAAGUUAUACAUGCAAUUUCAUUUUAUCCAAAACAUAUAACCUAGCUAGCAUGCACUUGGAGAUAUACAACAUAAAAACUAGUUAGAUGAAUACCUCUUAGGUGUAGCUUGUAGUUCUUGGCCUUUCAAGAGCUUAGUACCUCAAGUGUGAUACCUCUAAUAAGUUACAAACACCAAAAGCAAUAUGAGGCUAGUGAGAGAGAGGUUAGGAAGCACAAAAAUCGUCUAGGGUUUCACCUUGGAAUGAAUUGGCCGAUUUUAGGGAGUCAGGGGUUACAUUUUGUGACAUCCCCAUUUUCAUAGCCAGAAAAGACCGAUUUUGUUUAUGCUUUAUAAAAAUCAGAGUACCUCCUUUAAUAAAAAUGUUGCAGAAUUUGUUCCCAAUAAAACUUGAUAAAUACGUUAUCAAAGCAUCUCCGAAGAAAAAUAUUUUUAUUCAUUUUAAAACAUUUGGGAUGUCAUCGUCAAUACAGAAACAUAAGCAUAAACAGAACUUACAUUCAUUAUCACUAGUGAUUUGUAUCUCCUUAAUCUCUCAGUGUAAUGUGACUUCAUAACAACACUUGUGAUAUAAAUAAGCUUGAGUGGGUCAGGUUGGGAAACCAGGUGAGCACACAGGGUUUUCAACCCAAAAUAAUAUAACUAUUAUGUUUAAACAUCAAACAAUCAACUCAAUUACCUAUCCCCAUUAUCUUCUUUACUCUUAAGGGUCUACCCUAAGAAUCAUCUAUCUUGCAUUUAUUCGUUCCGAAGUCCAUCGCCUCCAGGGUUUAUAUGACAGGCACUAAGUCCAUAGCUACCAAUGCUUGUUCAUAAAGCACUAAUUCCAUAACUGCUAAAGUUCAUUCAUCGAGUACUAAAUCCAUAGCUACCAGUGUUCAUCUAAUAGGUACUAAAUCCAUAGCUACCAAUGUUUAUCUAAUAGGUACUAAGUCCAUAGCUACCAACGUUUAUUCAAUUGGCACUAUGUCCAUAGUUGUCGAUGUUAUUUAUUAUGCACUAAGUCUAUAGCUGCCUAUGUUAACUCAUAUCAUCCUUCAUCUCUCAUCUUUCAUUUACCCAUGUUUUACCCAACAUAUUCGUAUAUAUAAAAUACAUAUACAGUUUAAAUCAUUUAAAACUUGUAUAAAAUCGUUCAUCCAGCAUAGAUAGCAAGUAUACAGAUAAGAUGCACACAUAGCACGUAGUUUAUAUAAAAUACUUCAUAUUUAUGUGUAAGAUGAAAGUAACUAUGCACUCACUUGAAAAGGUGGUGACUUGGCACUCGGACAGCACUUCGUUACUCUCAACACAAUUUUUCUUUGACAAAACCUAGUAUCAUUACCACUAGAGUUUAGUCUAAUAUUCACCGAGACUAAUUAAUAGUCUUGCUAUUAUUACUGUUAUAUAAGCAUGAAACAAUAUUUCUCAACCACUAUAUACAGACAGAGGCCAGACAUAAAACGCCGGAGGGCAUGACCAUUUUGGCAUAUAGCACUUCUGAAAUCCAACAACCCUAUACGGCCCUUUAAACUAGUUUCUCCGUACCGUGAGUGGUUAAAAAGAUAUUAUAAAAACACUUAUAUAACUCAUAAUAGUAGCCCACAUACUCAUUAUAAGUUCCUAAUAACAUUACUAUAUUGAAACAUAAGUUAUACUAAAGAUAGGUUAGGCGUAGCUCACUUACAGCGGGUUUUCUCGAAAACUGGGCUUCGCUGGAGCAGCGUUCCCGAGCCGAAAGGCUCUUUUCUCAGAGCUUCGGGAGCCUCGGUGCUUCCUUCGGGUGCUAGGGGGUUUACCUAGGCUUNGGUGGGGGGGUUGGGGGCUUAGAGAGAGAAAGUGAAGUUGGGAAGGUGUGAAGAAUGAGGGAACCCGACACCUCUAGUAAUAGGCUGGAAUCCUGCUCUACUCGUCGAUUAGGAGGUCCUACUCAUCGAUUCCAUGGCUAGGUGUCACCAUCUGGUGGCUUGCCUUGGGGAGAAAGUUUUGGCCCAUAUUCAGCCACGUCACCCGAUUUCGCACAGCACCCUGCCAACUUCUAAACCACGUAACUUUGGCAUACGAGCUCCAUUUUCGACGUUCUUUAUAUCCACGCGUAGGUAAAACAAGAUCUACAACUUUCAUUUAGACUCUGUUUGCUAAUUCUCGACCGAUCUUAAAUUUAACAGUAGGAGGAGAUUAUAUUGUUAAUUGUUCGCGUAAAAUUCAUAACUUCUACAUACGGACUCCGUUUUCGUCUGUCUUUUUAUUGUUGAGUUUCUAUUAAUGAGAUCUUCAACUCUCAUUUAGGUUACGUAAGCCAAAAAACGCUCGAACUAAAAUUCAAGUUUCGGGUCGUGCACUGUUAUGCCAAAUCUUAGAAAAUUCAUAACUUCCUCAUACGAAGUCAGAUUUGGGCGUUCUUUUUAUGGACGCCCUCGUUUUAACGUAUACUACAAUUUUUGUUUAGAUCACUAAGGCUAAAAAGUCUUUUAUCAAAAGUUCACUAUUUACAUCUCCCGGUGCCAUGCCGGUUUUGCCGUAAAACUUCGACGAGCCAUAACUUUUUCGUUAUAACUCGGAUUUCGGCGUUCUUUAUAUGUACGGAACCCUUGAGACAUAUUCUACAACUUGGUUAAGAUUAUUUAUUCUAAAUAAUCUUUUUUCGAAAAGUCUUUUUCGACCCCUAUUAUCUCUAAAUUGACUAGCCUGGAUCUACAGGCGUUACACAUUUAUAGUGUGGAAUUCCUAGGAUUUCUUACAUGCAAACCCUAAUUCACCAUGACUCUUCACAUUUCAUAGGCCCUUUGGACUAAACCUUCAUGGACUCUCAUAUAGGUUUAGUCCAUCCCUAAUCAACAUGGAUCAUUAGCCCAAACUAUAAGUAUUAUUGAUUUACCUAAUCAGUCCCCGUAAAUUUAAUCACUCUCUUUUGAUCACUAAAUUAAUUACACUUUAAUUAUUGAUCAAUACCAAUUAAAUAAUAUGAUUUCUCAAUUAAUAUAUUAUUUAUAUAAUAUAUUAAUAAAUCACAAAUAACCUCUUUCUUAAAUGUAUAUCCUAUCAAAUUGUUUCGGUGAAGGCAACCCAAAAGGACCAUGCUACUAGGGGUGGAAUUGGUACGGUACCGGGUAUUUUUUUCCCAAAACCGUGUACCGUACCAAUUAUAAUUGGUAUAUAAUUUUAGUUACCACUACCGUACCAAGUAUAGUUGGUACCAACUUAAUUGGCUACCAGUAAUUUUGGUUGGUACAUGUUGGUAAUGGUAUGUACCAAUAUGUAUGGGUAUUUUACAAAUUAAGAUUUAUGUGUUAUUGUGCACUUAAAAGGUACACGUGGGUUUUGUAAAUAAGAGUUUUCUGAAUGGUUGGAUUGGAAAUUCCAUACAAAAAAGAUUUUAUAAUUUUGUACCAUGAGUUUAAACUAAACUAUAGAGUAAAUGGGAUAUGUUAAUAUGAGUUUAAUCUUUAAAAGCUACUAGACAUUAAUGCUAAUAUCAAAACACUUUAACUCUUAACCGCCAAAUACAUUUAAAGUUAAAAUAUACAAUAUUUUAUAUAUAUGAAAAAUAACUUGGUUGGUAUGGUAAUACUGUGGCACUUAAAACCUUGUACCAUUACCGAACCAUUAUUAAUUAAUUGGUACGGUACUACCAGCCAAAUAUGUUGGCUACCAAACAUAUUGGCUACUAAUAUAAUUGGUUCGGUUGGUACACAUGUUGGUUGGUUUUCCAUGGUACAUAUUUGCCACCCCUACAUGCUACUAUCGGGUCAAGUACAUACCAAUUAUAGUUAUGGGCUUAGACACCUAAUCCAACAAGGGUGUCAUUAGGUUGUGGAAGAGGGGCAAGCUAGGGCCCCAUUUAAUUCACCCAUUCAGGAUUUCUGCAUGGGUGGUUAAGGUAGCCUAUCGAUUGGAUCUACCAGUCGAGCUUAGUCAGAUCCACAACACCUUUCACGUGUCCCAGCUUCGGAAGUGUGUUACUGAUGAGGCCGCAGUCAUUUCCUUGGAUGAUAUACAGAUUGAUGAGAGCCUGUAUUACGUGGAGAAACCAUUAGCGAUUUUAGACUAGAAGACCAAAGCCCUACAAAACAAAGAAGUGAAGCUCCUCCUCGAGUGAUCAUCACCAUUCUUAAACUGAAAAUGCAAAUAGAAAAUCAAUUAGCAUAAUUUGAGUCACACUACAUAUUUACUUUAGAAUCCCCAAUAUUUUCCUUGUGUCGAGUACAGAUCUCGUGUUUCCAGUAGUACGGUCCAAAUACUACCUUCCACACCAGUUUGUACUCUCCUCAAACACCAUCCUAAAUCCACUAAGAUAUCACACUAAAUCCAUAUAUCAAUACUAUGUUAUAUUGCAUACAAGUCCUAUUAUAACAUUGCCUAGACUCAUCUAAGAAUUCCCCCUCAGUCGCCCAAUACUAAGAACUCGCAUUCUAUUGGUUGCCUUAUGCAUGCAAGUUGUACACAAAAUGGGACCAUAUAGACUGUCAAAUAAUGGUUCUACCCUAAUUCCACAACCAAACAAGAAAUAUGAAAUAAGGCUAAAUCAACCAUUCUAGGGCUAUAUGAUCCUAAUCGUAUACAACUUUUAAAGCAUACACUUAGCAAUUAAUAGAAAAUAUAGCAUCCGAAUCUCCUAGGCUAUAAGGCAUCAUACAAAUCAGGCAACCCUAUCAUAUGAUUCCUGAAAGUAACCUUAGCUCUAAUCAAGCAUGUGAUUCAUAUAUCAGGCAUGCUAAUCAUAACACAUAAGUAUGGGUAUUUUGGAAAUUAGUUACUUGAGCUCGGCCGAUUGCACACAUCACACAUUUUUUUCUAUUUUAUAAAACUCUUUUAAAAAUUAUUAUUUUUUCUUUGAAAAGAUUAUCAAUUCCUCAGUUUGAGUUCUGGCACACUCGAAAGUGUUCCCGAAUCCCUCAAACCAAGGCUCUGAUACCAACUUGUAACACCUCAAAAUCAUGGAUAAAUUUUCAUUUUUAAUUUAAUUGAAAACCAUCAAGUAUUCAUAACAACCCCAAACAAAGUAUGUCAAAUGAGAAUAAUCAUCAGAGUACAAAUCCAAAUAAUAAAUAAAAUGUGGAACAUGGGUGGAUGCGUUGUGAUCAUCUCAGGUCCUUCCCUUUUGUACCGGAAGUACAUAAAACCAUAAACACAACUGUCAGCAGUGUUGUAAAAAUCCCGAUAUAACGACCAAAAUUUCACAACAAUUAAAAACUUUUCAAAAACCACCCAUUUUAAUAACGUUGUUACAGAAAGGUUUUUCAAUACAUUAUUUAACAGAAUAUUUCCCAGGUCCAUUUCAUAAAACACCAACACGAGUAACGGUACGAUCACGCCUUUGCCUUGCCACAGUCUCCUGAGAACCUGAAAACAUAAA